CGACAAAUUUGCACCUGGAGAUGAGGGAGUGGAAGGAGAGGCGACGGCGCGAGGAGAGAGAGAGGAGAAGUGUUUGUUAAAUUGAAGAGAGUAAGAGGAUAAGGAGAGGUGUAAUCUGCUGUCGCCGCGGAGGAGGGAGCGCCUGGUGAGGUUGUUGAUCAGACGGUGGUGAUUUCUCCUCGCAACAGCAACUGAUGAUGAUGAAAAUUUGGCGCGAGGUACGAAAGAGCGAAAGUAGAAUCUGUUGGAAGCGAGGGAAGUACAAGAGAGAGAACGAAGCAACGCGGCUCGCUCCAUUGUUAGAAGAAGGAUAGGUACUACGGAGAGAGAGCCUGAAGCGAUAUAGAGCGCUGAAGCGUUUGAGAUUUCGUGAUGUGGCAGUUUUCUAUUGGUUGGGUUUUGUGGGGGGUUUUUUUCGAUCAAGUGAAUUGAAAGGCAUGGGAAUGGAAAAGAGGGAAAAAUAUCAAUCCAUCAAUCAACUGAAGUUGAGUGCUUGUGUGAGCGCCAAGUAAGUUGUUUAAUUUCUGCCCUUAAAAACUUGGAUAAAAAAUAAACUAAAAUUAUGUGGGCAAUUGAUUUAUUAUUUUUUUUUUUCCCAUCGGUGUCAAUUACUUGAGUUUGCUUGUCGUGGAGAUCCAUCAUUUGUUUUUGUCAAUAUGAGAAAUGAAAUUUUUUUUUUUUUUUUUUUGAAGAAUCGAGAUAGGUAGCCAGAAAAGGCCAAAAUUUUUCAAAGAGAGUAUUAAAUAUUUAAGAUGCAAUUAAGACACAUUGAGAUAUAUUUUUAUAAGAAGAGAAUUUUGUUUCUCAUAUUUGGUGGACAGUAAUAAUCAUUAGAAUAUUUUGUAAUUAAAUCGGAUUGUAGUGACCAAGUUAAAUAUAAUAUCUGUUUGGUAUAACUUAUUAUUUAAUUUUAUAAAUAAAAAUAUACUAAACAAAUAAGUUUUAUUUACAAAAACUCUUCUAAGAAAAUUUCUAAUUAGAUAAACUCUAUUUAAAAAAUUAUAUUAAAGAAACAAAUAUAGGAGGAGUAUUUAUAAGUUUAUUUGAUAAAUAAUCACUACUAGUCUAAAAGCAAAAGCUCUAAUUAGAUAAGAUUUAUUUAAAAAAUUAGACUAAACAAACAAAUACAGGAGGAGUGUUUGUAAGUUUAUUUGAUAUAUAAUGACUACUAGUUUAUUAUGUUAAUGUGUCACCUGAGCGUAUACACCCAUAUUUAGGGUGCGUUUGUGAUUGAGGUGCUAUAUCUUUUAAGUUGCAUCUGCUGUAAAAAAAGAAAUUGUAACUAUGACACAAAAGUUAGUAAUAUAUAGUAAAUAUAAAUUUUAAAAAAUAAUUUUGAUAAAAUUAUUAAAAAUAUUAUAGAUUUUCUAUUAUACAAGUGAAAAAUCAUAUCAACAUACUUUCCAAGUUACAGCAGCUAGUGUUUACCAAACACUUUAGUGUUGUAACUUUUAAGCUAUAACUAUCCAAUUUCAAUCUCAAACGCACCCUUAAUGGUAUGAUUUUGGAAAGUUAUGGCCCUAGUCAUGGACGGAUUAGCAUAGAGAUGAGUAGCAAGGGUGCGACACUUCUAAGAAAUUAAAAAAUAAUAAUAAUAUCCAAAUAUUAGGUAUUAUGUAACAUAUGUGAUUUAAAAUAAAAUGAGGCAGUUAAGGAUUUUGGCGGUUAAGGAUUUUAUUAAUAAACAAAAGAAGAAGCUGGAAAAAACAGAGCAAAAACAGAAGCCACACGUGUGUGAGAGAGUGAGAGAGAGAAGCCGUCAACCCUACCCGAAAACCCGACUCGGAACCCGCGACCUUGACCCGGCCAUAACUCCCAUUUCCGGCCACCGUUUCGGCCGAGCUUGGUACCAAUCUGAAGCUUAGAAGCCGACCGUCGUUCCCCUGCCAUCCUCGCUGCCGAAAACCAACCGGAACGCCGGCGAUCGAAGCUUGAAACCCGUGACUGUUUCACUUUGCUUCGCCAGGAUUUUCGCCGGUUUUGGGUGACACCACCGGUUGGAUUUUGUUCCUCAUGACUCCCUCUUCCUUUUUCAACCAUCCAUAGGCACCGAGAGUCACUGUUUUGCCGUCGGUCGAUUGUUGGAAUUCACGGCUGCCGAGCUAGAUUUCGGCGUCGUUGCCGCGCGUUGGAGCUCACCGCCGGUACCAUUGAACUCAGCGUGAUUGGAACUUUCAGAUUUGAGCUUCCUAGCCAGCGUUGACCAAAUUUCGGUGACAGUUGAUCGGCAAGGGCAUUUUGGUAAUUUCACACUAUGAGGGUAAUUUUGUAAUUUCUGAGCCUGUGGAUAUUUUAGUAAUUCCUAGAAUUAAGGAUUGGGUGUAAUUACGAUUCCGAGGGUAAUUCAGUGAUAUACGAUUUCGGAGCAUGUUAAUGAUCUACGGACUCAAGGGCAUUUUAGUAAUUUUAUGGACACGGGAGUUGUCAAUUAUGGGUAGAUAUUCGUUUCGAGUUUAUUGCAUAAAAUUUAGUCAUAAUUCUGAUUUACGGAAAAUAAUUAUGUCGUUUCCUUGAUUUAGGAGGAUUCGCGAGCGAGAACCGGUCUGCGGACGUGGACGAUAACUGACCGUGAACACCGUCAUUGUGAGUGGAAUAUACAAAACCUAUUUUCAUAGUUAAUUAUGAUAGUAAAGCAUGUUUGCGAAAUAAGUAUUUUAAAUGUUCUGAUUUAAUGAUUUCCUCGAACUGGAUUUUAUUCACGCAUUGGUAUAUUAUUAAAAUAUUUGGUUAAUGAUUUUGCAUAUCAACUUUGAAUAAGCAUGAUAGUAUUUUAAAGAUAAGAAAAGUGGAUUCAAAUGUGGUAUGCUUUAAAAUAUGGUUAAGAGGUAUGUGAAUAUGAGUAUAAUGAUUAUUUUUGAAAUCAUUAGACAGUACCCUUCCCUCCAGAUAUAGUGAUACAGAUGAGAUGAGAGGCCUUUGGGGCCCGUCUAAACACACAUAGAGGCUUUGGGCCGUGUGUUUGGAUGCUUUUGCCUUUUGGGGGCAUAUGCAUGCGGUAUGAUGAUUACAGAGAUACAGAUAUGAGAUACAUACAUAUAUUGAGAUACAUAUGAUACAUAUGAGAUACAGGCCUUUGGGGCCCGUCUGAGUACACACAGAGGCUUUGGGCCGUGUGCUUGGGCGAUUUUGUCCCUUGGGGACUAGAUUAUGCAUGCACAUAUAUGAUGAGAUAUGAGAUGGUAUUUCCCUGUCUAUCCGUGUAGCUUCGGGGCGUGACGUUACCUAGAUAGUACGUCAUUGCCCGUCCGUUGAAGUUCGGAUAUGACGAGAUUAUUUCCAUGGGUACUUGUUUGGUGAUGAUUUUCAGAUUUGUGAAUUCUAUAUGAUAUUGUGAUAUGAUUUCCAUGGUUAGUAAUCUGAUUUAAAUGUUUAAUGAUUUAUUACUGGUUUCUCGCUUAUGGUUUAAUAAAAUCGUGUUUGGAAAUGAUAUGAUUAUUUCUUUUAAAGUAAGAAUUAAUUUUCAAAACUACUAUCCACUCACUGAUCUCACUGAGUUUUAAACUCACCCCGUUUUUAUUAUAUUUUCCCCCCACCAGGAGGUUGCAGGUACACCAGACCGACCCAGCGACUGUAAAUAUAUUUUGAGUCUUGGCCACGUGAUGGUGUCAGAAGAUAUAAAUAUUUUUGUUAGGACAUCUUGGUUAUCUCGUCCUGUUGGGAUUGUAUAAUUUUGUUAUAUUAUUCUUUUGGGAUUAAGAAUAAAUUGAGAUAUUAAUAUUAGUUAUAAUAUUAUCUUUUGAGACUCUGGAGAUAUAAAACUCAACAUUUUGGUUGAGGAUGUUGAUCACUGGAGUUUGUUGUAUAUUAAAUUGUAUUGAGAGUGUUAUAUUCAUAUUUGUAUAUUGUGAGUGUUAUAUAUAUACAGGAGACUCUGUCAAAUUUUCGGUAGAAUCUUUACUAAUAGAAUUUUUAUCAAGUCCGUUUUGAUAAGACUAGAUAGACUCGCCUCGAAGGGGAUUCGGGGUGGGUCGUUUCAUAUUAAAUUAUAAUAUAAGUUGAAAGACAUUCCUAAAUUAAUUAGUAUUCUCAAUCUAUUUAGUCUUUUGUAUCCUACUUUUAUUGUAAAUGGUUUAGUCAUUAAUAUCUCUAAAAUUCUAUAAAUUUAUUAUAUUUAAUACAAUUUAUCUUUCCUCAUAGGUAGUAAAAAUCAUAAUUCUCUUCCCUAAUUUAAUAUUCCAUUCAAAAAUAUUUUUUUUUGUUUGUUUUUAAAUUUAUUGUUGUUACAAUCUUUGACAAAAUUAACUCAUUAUUUAGUUUGUUUCUUUAAUUUCUCAAAUAAUAUUUUCUUUCCUUUUUAUUGUUUGUGGGAUGAUAAACCCUAUCCAUUAACCACAAGCAUUUACUUAUAUUCUAACUUGAACUAGUGGGCACAUGUACAUUCACAGUCAGUUGAGCUACACCUAAGGGACAAGAAAUAAUUAAUUUUAGAAGUCAAUAAUAAAUAAUUCUUAUUUAUUAGAAAGACAUCAAAUUGAAGUUUAAGAGAUUUUUUGAUGUUUGUUUAUCCUUUUUGAUUUUAAGAGAUUUUUUAAACUCAUAGCAAUCACAACAACAACCACUCGGGCAGUAGCCCGAGUGGCCAGGGCUGCUGCCCUCCAACUUGGAGGGCAGUAGUUCGAACCCCCAUAAAAGCAUUGUGGGGGUAUUUCAUUCUUCAAUUAAUUUGAGUGAAGGUAGUCUUCUCCUUUACCCAUGAGUGAGGAGUAGACAUCCCUUGAAUAUUUGUGAGGGUUAAAAUCUGGGCAGAGCUCCAUUAGCAUUGAUGUCAGUUGGUCCCAGUAAUAGUCUGAUUUGUAAAUAUCAGUAAUAGUCUCAUGUAUAUGAGUUGUAAUCUGAGCAAUAGUCUCAUGUAAUCAAAAAAAAAAAAAAAAAAGCAAUCACAACAACAUAAUUUACUAAAUGACAAAUUGCUUUUUCAAUCAGUAGUUUAUUAUCUUAUAGCAACUACAAUAACACAGUUUAUCAAACGUCAAGUUGUUUUUUCAAUCAACAGUUUAUUACAUUUGCACAGUAAAAACAACUUGUUUUAAUCAGCAACCGCAAUUCCAAACUAGCCCUCAAUGCAUUUUAUGUUAAACUUAUAUAAUGAAAUAGCUCUUUUAGUAUUUAUACAUAAGAAGGUUCGUAUUCUCACACUAUAUACAAGUGAGGUUUGGUCUAUUAGAUCUCACUCUUCUAAACUCGUGUUUUGCAUGAGCUUCAAGGAUUUUGUGUUCUAUGUUUAUGAGUUUUUCCAUUAAUACAUGCACUAAAAGCGGAUAAAACUAGCUAUAAAAUUAUAAUUGGUGCACUGGAUGCCAUAUCGCAUGCAAAUUUAAGAAAAUUUUACUCAGUAAAUUCGUUUGGAGAUAUGAUGAAGAAUUCGAUAAUGAUACAUAGGUAAAAAAAAAAAAAAAUUGAGAUGCCACAUUCAAUCCCAUCUCACAAAUCUUUUGUGUAUUAUUUCCAUAAUACAUGCACAAUUAAGUCAAGUAGUUAAAGUGGAUUGGAAAGAAAACAUUUUUAACUAUGAAAAAGGUUUUUUUUUUUUUAAAUAUUAUAACAAUCAUAAUUUUUUUAGUUAUAAGAUAUAAAAAUGAUUCUAAAUGGGCUAUUGGAUCUGAUUAUUGGUUCGUUGCAGAAAGGCCUGGUUCUUAAACCUGAAUACAGACUACAUAAUUCUGAGGACCAAUUAUUUCCAUAAUUAAAAAAAUCACUUUCCGCGCUCAGCAUGACGACGUGACCCAUCACAAAUUAUGUCAAAGAAAAAUCAAAUGAGAAAUUGUCACGAAACUCACAACCGGACACGGUAAUAAAAUUUCUCAGGAAAAACGUUGGGGGUGGCUUUCCAUACUUUAGCCUCUAUUACCAACCCACUUUUGGAAUUCCCUUCAACCCGAUUACUACACUUUUAUUAUUAAAUUCCAUCCAUUCAAAAGAAGAUAAGAGCUUCAUACUACUUUAAUCUUUAAGGUAGUUGGGGAUUGCUUUAGCUUUUCAAAAAAUCAAAUUCUAAAAUAGAUUUCGAAAUAAUCAUCUUUACAAAUAAUUCGGUAAGGUGUUUGGCAAAAUAAAAUUAAUAUUUUAUUUAUAUAACAUAAAUAAAAUAAAAUCACUUAGUAGAUAAAGUGCAUCAAUUUUUUUGUUUGUUUGACUUUAUAACAUAAAUAUUUUCCAUCCUAACAGACGAAAUUCACUAGUAGAAUAUUGUAUAUGUGGAUGUUAUUUUUUCAAUACGAUAAGAUAUAUGUUAGGAUCUUAUGUUCCGCAUGGCGUACAUGAACUAAAAAAUAUGACAAUUUAAAUGAAUAUAUAAAACUCGCGAACUCAAUUCUUUUAUAAACCAAUUUUUAAAAGUGAGUUCUAUCUACGAGGUCUUAUUGUUCAUUUGUGUAUUGAGAGGAACUUUAAAUCCCACAUGAACUAUAGCCAUGGGAUUUUAACUUGUUCAUGAUAUUCAAUUAUACGAACGACACUUAGUUGGUUUUAUAUUUUCUUUUUUAUUAAAAAACAAAACAAAAUGUUUUGUAUCAAACCUUUUUGAACAACUACAUGAGAAAGCACUACGAAACUUUACCUUUUUUUCAUUAAAAAAAAAGAUGUUUUUUAUGGGGUAAAAUUGCGAUAUGUAGGAAAUGAAUUGAUGGGAUAGCUGGAAAUUUAUCCUUUUUUUUUUUUUAUACAAAAAGGGCUAAGUUAAAAACUAAGCAAUGACCAAUCGAGGAUAAGCAGUCCCAGAUACAUCAUGCAGCAGCCACCCUUCAGUUCCGGCCGGAGGCCUGGGAAACACAUGGACCCCAAGAGGCAAAAGAAGAGCUUGGUUGGCAAGGUAAUCAGCUGCAAAAUUUGUUUCUCUAUAACUGUGUGACAGAGAUACCUGCCACUCCAUGUUAAGAAGUCUUUUGAUACCCUGAAUGAGAGGAGUUAGCAUUGGGAUGAUUGGACUUUGUGGCUAGGAUCACCGUAAUGCAUUGACUAUCAACUUCAACAAGUAACUGUCUAAUCCCAAUAUUCCAGGCAAGCUGCAACCCUUGAAAUAGACCCCAAAGCUCCGCCCCAGUAAUAGUACAAUGACCAAUAUUCAUACCAAAGCCGUGAACCCAUUCUCCGCAAUAAUUUCUAAUGAGGCCACCUACACCUGCAUUUCCUGCAAUUUUCCGAGCACCAUCUGUAUUUAGUUUAAAAAAAGGCCAAGGUGGGGCCAACCAUUUCAACCAUUUGACUAUCCUUUCAUGGCCUGGUCUACAGAUAUUCUCCAUGGAAGCAUUAAUUUCAGCCACACGGUGCGUGAUGUCAAGCACCAAAUUUGCAACACUGGUGCUUGCAUCAUUGUGGAUGAAUUGAUUUCUCCAAUACCAAAUCCGCCACAGAGCAACACCAAAAAUGCAGGGCCAAUUUUCCUCUCUCCUAAUCAACCCCAUGUUCUUGAGAUUAUAGUGGAUCCAACUCGUCAAAUCCAAAUCAAAAAAAUUAUUCCAUAAAGUACUAGGAACCAAUCUCAACCACACCUGCCGAGCAAUGAUACAAUCUCUCAACACAUGAAUGGUAUCUUCCAAUUGAUGGCCGCAACUACAACAGGUAGCAUCCAUAGUAAUGUGCCGUCGAAGAAGCUCCGACUUUGUUUUCAGCCUAUUACUUAUGGCAAGCCAAAUAAAAGUUCUGAUACUUUGAGGUCCCUUCCAUUUCCAAGCCAAACUCCACACCGAAUUAUCAGCCACAUUAUUGGGCUGGUGCAGAGAGAGGUAUGCAGAUUUUGCCGUGAAGUGUCCUGUAUUAGAGUGAGCCCAGUAACAUUGAUCCUGACCACUAUAAUCACAAGGAGCUUUAACUGAAGCAAUUUUCAGAAUUAUGUGGUUGGGAAGCAAAUGAGCAAAUAAAUGCCAAUUCCAAUUGCCAUUGUUAUCUGAAAAAUCAGCCACACACAGAUUUAUCAGCUGAUCAGGGAUUGGGUUCUGGGCGUAUGAUUGUAAGUUCUCAGCCUCACUGAGCCAUAAAUCCCACCAGAAUUUCACUCUUUUUCCAUCCCCCAGAGCCCAACGAAUUCCCUUCAGCACAUGAUCCCAAACCUUCCCUACAGCACGCCACAAGUAAGACCCGUUCCUCGUUUGUAAGCUACCCGGUAGACACAUGGUAUCAACCUUGUACUUAGACGUUAGAACCUGAACCCAAAAAGUAUUUGGAUAGUUGACUAGACCCCACCCCACUUUCAUCAGCAAAGCCAUAUUCAUAUGAGAUAAAUCUUUAAGACCAAGGCCUCCACACGACUUGGGUUGGCAUAAAGUGUCCCACCGGAUUAGAUUCAAUUUUCUUUUAUCUGCAUUUCCACUCCAGAUAAACUGCUUCCAGCUUUGCUCAAUUUUGGUAAGGACCGAAACUGGAAUUUUCGUAGACUGCAUGGCAUAAACUGGGAGGGCUUGAAUUACCGAUUGUGCCAAAGUUAUCCUGCCCGCUAGAGAGAGAUGCUUGGCAUUCCAGCCUGAUAAUCGCUGCUGUACUUUAUUUAGAAUAUCUUGAUAAGUUGCCUUGGUAACUCGGGAGUGAAGGAUUGGCAUGCCAAGAUAUUUACCAAGGUUCUUUGUAACUGAAAAUCCGAGUGUAGUCUUUAUCUCCCGGAUUGUGCCCUUCUGAACAUUUGGAGAGAAGAAAAUUUGGGUCUUUUCUCUGCUCACCUUCUCGCCAAAGCUUACACAAAAAUUAUCCAAGACCUCAUUAAUCACCUGAGCUUGCGCACUAGUAGCUUCCGCUAGAAGAAGAAGAUCAUCAGCGAAAAAUAAAUGCGUAAUAGGAAUACCUCCACGAUUAAGCCUGAUUGGUUUCCAGCACCUAUUCCCAACUGCUUGAUUGAUACCGUGGCUUAGCCUCUCGAUGCACAUGACAAAAAUAUACGGGGAUAAGGGGUCCCCCUGUCUGAUUCCUCUAGAUGGGCUAAAACUGUCCGUGAGCUCACCAUUCCACAAAAGUUGCAUCGAAACUGAAGUUAUACACUCCAUUAUAAUACGAAUCAAGUCCAUCGGUAACCCAAUCACCCCUAGGGUUUCAUGAAUAAAGUCCCAACUCAAACGAUCAUACGCCUUUUCCAGAUCAACCUUGAUAGCCAUCUGACCAAUUUUACCCCCUUUGUUCCUCAUGGAGUGGAUGAUUUCUUGGGCAACAUUGACAUUUUCUAUUAUAUGUCUCCCCGGAACAAAACUCGUCUGAGCAGGGCCAAUGAUUUGCGGCAGAAUGGUCUUGAGGCGAUUAGCCACCAAUUUAGUUAUAGUCUUGUACACCACUGUGCACAGACUAAUAUGUCUAAAUAAUUUGAGAGAAUCUGGCUUAUUGGUCUUGGGAAUCAGCACAAGAAGAGUUUGAUUCAAUUCCUUGGGCAAUUGCUUUUCCGCGAAAAAAUCUUUAAUAAGCUGACAAACCGAGGACCCCACCACGUGCCAUUGAGUUUGGAAGAAAAUGGCGUGAAGGCCAUCUACUCCCGGGGCUUUCAUUGGGCUCUUGCUAAAUACAGUGUCUCUAAUCUCUGCAUCAUCAACACCUCUGAUCAAACUGUUAAGCACAACAUUAUCAAUUAAAGGGAAAUCAAGAGUAACAGGGUAUUGAACAUGAACACCUCACUCCUUCGUAUACAGAUUACAAAAGUAAGAGACUGCAUGGGCUUUAAUAUCAGCUUCGUCAUGAAUCCAUUGCCCCUCAUCAUCUUUUAUCAUACCCACUUUAUUUCGUCGGCGUCUCUCAAUAGCUUUUUGAUGGAAAAAGGCCGUGUUCCUAUCCCCACAGGCAAUCCAUUCUCUCCGAGAUUUUUGGAACCAUAGCACUUCCUCUUGAGUUAACACCUUUUCAAGGUCCCUCUUUAGCUUAGACUCUAGCUUGCUUAAACUCCUAGAAUGACGUUUCUCCAGAAAAAGUUGAAUACCACCAAUUCUAGCCAGCAGCUCCUUUUUCCUUUUAAAAAUGUUGCCAAAGAUUUCUUUAUUCCAGUUCCCUAGCUUGUUGAUAAAAUCAGCAAUAGCAUUAGUGUAGUUCAAACUGCACUUCCAAUUAUUUUCCACAAAGGGUUGGAACCUCUCGUCGGUCAGCCAGGGAGCCAAAAAUGGAAAAGGUUUCACGCCCGUAGGAGCGAAAUUGAUUUUUCUGCAACGAGCCAUCACCGGUCUAUGAUCGGAUUUUAAUUUGGGGAGGUGGAAAACUUCUGCCUCAUCGUUCAUCAUUAUCCACUCUUCAUUACAAAUCACACGAUCCAACCUUUUCGAUAAGUUGCCUCUUGACCAAGUGUAUUUGGGACCCUUAAAGUCAGGUUCCAUGAGAUGGUUUCGAUGGAACCAUCCAUUAAAAAGGUCACACACACCACUGAUCCUGGCUGACCCACCUUUUUUUUCCGAAACUCUUCGAAUUGCAUUGAAGUCCCCACCAAUCAUCCAUGGACCAUCCACGGACUUGGCAACUUCAUCUAACUCAGACCAUAAAAUUUUCCUUACCAUGGGAAUCGGACUCGCAUAAACUGCCGUGACCCAAGAACUACACCCAUUCGAAUCAAUUAUUUUAAAGUGAAUAAAUUGAUUAUGAUUGACGAUAAACUCCACCUCAAAACUGUCAUCCCAUAGUAUCCAAAUGCCACCAGAAAAACCCCUAGCUUCCACCCGGUGAGACCUCUGGAAACCACUUUUUUUAAUGAACCCAUCAGCCUUUGAUCCACUAAUGCGAGGCUCGAAUAAAGCCACCAUAUUCAGUUUAUAAUUACUGACCAUAGUCUUAAAAGUCCUACAAAAUCCCGGCGAGAGAGCUCCCUGACAAUUCCAAAACAUUAUGUUGUACAUCAUUAAAAAAGAAAAAUAAUCAAAGGUGGUGCGCAUGAACCCUUACAGACUAGGCCCUAGAGCCCCUCCUCCAUGCACGCCAGGGGUCUCAUUAACAAUAGUAUUUUCAUCAUCAGACAUAAUAUCUUCCUCUUCAUAGCCAAAUGCAAGUUGAGGAUUAUCGCCAUAAAACUCCAUCGGAUUAAUAGUUCCAUCGUCUUGUCCAUCGGGAGGCUCAGCUAAUUUUCUUGGGUAGAGUUGCUGAUCUGAGUUAUCAGCCACUUUUCCACAUGAGUAGCCUGGUGGAUUACCCACAAUCUCAUGGUUAGGCAUGGGGAAAGUCACGGCAGUAUGUUUAUGAGGAUCCAGGGUGGUCAAGAUGAAAGAAGAUUCAACGGGCAAGCUAAGAGGAUGUCCUAAGGGGUUCGGGCUAGGGAUAGUAUUCUUGGUAGAGUGAUCUUUAGGAAUAUUGGGACGUAAGUUUGCAUGCAUGGAUGUAGAUGGUUUGGGAUUCUGUUGCUUAGGUCGUGAAAGCUGAGAUUUGGCCACUUGUUUAGCUUUGGAUAGGUGAUUAUGAGGCUUUAACGUGCCAAGGGUUUUCAGGGGAUGGUUCUUUCGGGUUUGGAAGUGAUCGGCAAUGGAAUUAGCUGGUUGUUGGGGGGGGAUAGUGAUAGGGUUCUGAACAGCAAAUUCCGUCACGGUAUUUGUAUCAUGCUCAUCAAUUAAGGCAGCAAAACGAGAGGCAGAACUAUAAUUAAAUCGUUGAUUCCUCUCCGAAUCGGUGAUAUUCUCCUUGUCCACCACUACUUUAGGUUUCCCUCUACGUGCCACAAUCAUCCAAGGGCCAAAUUUCUCACCAUUGUUCUUCGCCACAACUGAGACACCAUCCUUAUCAGCUGUCACAUUAGCUGUUGGAAAACUCUCAGAACACUCGGCUCUAUCUCCAUUAGCAGCUUGUUUUUCAGGACACGUAAUGCUAGUGUGGCCAUAUUUACCACACUGGUAACAAAUAAUUGGCAGCCCUUCGUAUUCAACCUUCUGAAUUUUUCCGUCUAAAUUAAAUUGAGACACCAAAGGCUGAGAAAGGGAAACCCGGACAGCAAUUCUCGCAAACUUCCCCCUCUCCCGUGAUUCGAUAUGAUAAUCAAUCUUAAUAACUGUGCCCACAAGUUGUCCAACCUUCCUCAGAACACGCUUGUCGUAUAAGUGAAAUGCCAUGCCAGGUAAGCGGAUCCAAACAAUGGCUGAGGCAAUAGCAGUAACGGUGCUGUCGAACUGUGGAGUCCAAGGUUGCACUGUCAAAUAGUGUCCAAAAAUUACCCAUGGCCCCUCGGUUAAAGCAUAGACUACAUCUUCUGGUGAGUGGAGACGAACUAAAUAAUAAUUGUUCUCCAGGUCAAUCACCGAGAAAUCAUGAAUCGUCGGCCACAUUACCUUUAGUCGGUUGCAUAACACCUUAUAUCCGAUGUUUCUUCCCAAUAACUUCACUACCACAGAAUUUUGCCAAGGUUUAAUCAGUUUAUCAUGGACUCGUUUCGAGAACACGAUAGUUGGCAUGGUGCCAUCUUCUCCAACCAUCACAUUGCCAGGUUCAAAGUCCCAGUCAUCUUCCAUCUCAGCAUCAUCAAAGUUUCUGUGUAGGCUAGAGGGAGCCAGCGCUUCCUUGAAGGAUAGCGGCAUUGGAUUAUCCUCGUCUGUACCAUGGCUGGGAAAACGAGCCUUUUUAGUGGACCGAUCUUCAUUCAGCGGCGGUGGAAACACUUUCAGCAGGUUAGGGUUUUCGUGGAGUUCAGCGUUUUCAGAGCACUCCGACAUCUUCGGUUAAUAAAGAAAAAGCCAAAAUUUAUCCUUUUUUAUUCCACUAUCUUAAUACAAAGAACGACCAAACUUUAGCCCCAUUUUUGUCUCGGAGGAAAAAAAAAAAAAAAAACAAUUUAAUCUUGCUCGCAAACCAAAGAAACGAUUACUGGCAAUAUAUCUUACUACUGUUACUCUCGUUAUUUAAUCAUCAUCACUAGAAUUAAUAAUAUGCAACAAGCAAUAAUGGAUUCAAAAACAAGAGCAAUUGCACAUGAGUUUCUUCCAUAUUUUCGUGCAUACAGAGAUGGGCAUGUGGAGAGAUUCUUUGGCAGCCAUAAAGUUCCAGCAUCAAUGGAUUCCUCAAAUGCUGUCUUCUCCAAAGAUGUAGUUAUUGUGCCAGAGAAAGGCGUAUCAGCAAGAAUCUUCAUCCCUUCAGCCGCCAUUAAAACAAACCAAAAGCUCCCUCUCCUCGUCUAUUAUCACGGCGGAGGCUUCUUCAUGGGCUCACCAUUUUGUUCCACGUACCACAACUAUGUCGGCUCUCUUUCGGCCAAAGCAAAUGUUAUUGUAGUCUCAGUUGAUUACAGAUUAGCCCCUGAACACUUGGUCCCUGCUGCUUAUGAAGACUCAUGGGCUGCCCUCACAUGGGUAGCUUAUCCUUUUAAUAUCAAUGGUCAUGGCUAUGAAGCUUGGUUAAACGAUCAUGCUGAUUUUGCUCGUGUUUUUCUCGCCGGUGACAGUGCUGGUGGCAAUAUUGUGCACAACAUGGCCUUUCAAGUGAGUUUUCAAGACUUAAAUGGGAUACAACUGGCAGGAAUUUGUUUGGUUCAGCCAUAUUUUGGGAGAAAUGAUGAAGUUGUUGAUAAGUGUUGGGUAUUUGUAUGUCCAAAUACAAGUGGGUACAAUGAUGUGAGAAUAAACCCAGCUGCUGACUCUAGGCUAAUGAGCCUGAGGUGCCCCAGGGUUCUCGUUUGUGUUGCCGAGAAGGAUAAUUUGAGAGAUAGGGGAUUGCUUUAUUAUGAGACUUUGAAAAAUUGUGGGUGGGCUGGAGAAAUUGAGAUUGUGGAGACAGAAGGAGAGGAUCAUGUGUUUCAUUUGUUCAAUCCAGAUUCUGAAAAGGCUGUGGCCUUGAUGGAUAAAUUAGCUUCAUUCCUAAAUCAAGAUAAUGUUUUCUGAUGUGAUCACCAGGAACUUAGUAAUCUGUGUACUCUUAAAUUUAGUGUUGUUCAGCAUCAUAUUUCUCUUUGGUUUCACAUUAUGGACAUCAUUUCUUUUAUCAGAAAUUUCAUAGAUGUAUAUAUAAGAGCAUUCAAAUACUCCAUCGAUGGGUGUAUAAUUUACAAGUGAUAUUGUGUACCUUACCUUAAGAACAAUAAGGAAAGAAAAUGAAUAGAGUUUAAUUGUAGGAGCCAUUGUUACUGUUGGAUCCAAUUCAAUGUGAUUAUCAAAUCAAGAAGAGAUCAAGAAAGAAUUCAGGAUCUAAAUCUAAAGAUUAAUCAAUGAGAUCAUAGGGACAUGCAAAAUCAAAUCAAGAACAUCACAAGAGCAAUUUAUGUGGCUUGACAAGCUUGCUUAUAUCUGCAAGAGAAAACAACCACGGCAAGCAUCAUUAACAGAUGCCGAUUAAAAGAUUACACUCAGCACUCUGCAAAGAACAAAUCCCAUGUUUACAAUCUUGGCUAACUCUCUCUAAGUUGCAAGAAAAUUUCUCAGAAACAACUGUUUCAAUUCUGUUCAGUUGGUAACCACACUAAGCUGCUAGCUCAUCUGUGCCCUGUCAGCAGCCUAGUAAUAUCAUUGACGCGUAUAUGAGACCUAACUUGAGCAAGAUCCUUGUUGGCUGUUGCUAGUAAUAUUUUAUUAGAAAGGCUAAUUCAGGCUUGCCGGCGCUCUGCCGACAUUUUCUGCUUCAAUGGGUUCCACAGAGCCAUUAUCAGAAAUCGCCCACGAUUUCUCUCCUAUGAUGAUAAUAUACAAAGAUGGCACAAUAGAGAGGCUUGUGGGCAAUGACAUCGUUCCUCCAUCAUUUGAUCCAAAAACAAACGUUGAUUCCAGAGACGUUUUGUAUUUACCUGAAAAUACUCUAUCCGCUCGUCUUUACAUUCCGAAAAACACAAAAGAUCAAAACCAAAAACUUCCUCUUGUGGUUUAUUUUCACGGUGGAGGCUUCUGCGUCCACACUGCCUGUUCUUCUACUUACAAUAAUUACCUCAACAACUUAGUUUCUGAAGCUAACAUCAUAGCAGUCUCGGUUGAUUAUCGGAGAGCCCCGAAGAAUCCGGUCCCCUGUGCUCACGACGAUUCACGGACUGCAAUCAAAUGGGUUGCUUCCCAUGUUGAUGGGGAUGGCCCGGAAGAUUGGCUUAACCAUUAUGCUGACUUUCAGAGAGUGUUUUUCGCUGGUGACAGUUCUGGCGCUAAUAUAGCUCACCACAUGGGAGUAAGACAUUGUCAAGAAAUUCUCGACGAUUGGGAUUUGUUUUAACUCAUCCAUCCUUCUGGGGCAAGGAUCCUAUUCCUGACUAGACAACUGGUGUUAAAACAAGAGAAUGGCGUGAGGCAAUGUGGCAAUUUGUUUAUCCUAGCAUGAUUGACUGCGAUGAUCCAUUGAUUAAUCCAGCAGUUGGUUCGAACCUAACGAGCCAGCAGGGAUGCGCCAGAAUGCUGGUUUUUGUUGCGGAGGAGGAUAUGCUAAGAUAUAGGGGAUGGUUUUAUUGUAAGAAGUUGAAGGAGAGUGGGUGGAAAGGCGAUGUGGAGAUUGUUGAGUCUCAAGGAGAGUUGCAUGCGUUCCAUUUGCGCAAUCCAGAUUGCGAAAAUGCUUUGUCUAUGCUCAAGAAAACUGCUGCUUUCUUUAGCCACGACAAUGCUUGAAUUCGAAUUUAUAUGGGUUGUUUUCACCUCUUGUACUCUCGCUCCAAUCUCAAAGCUUAUCUUUACUUUGUAUUACAGAAACUAAUCAUCUCGAAUAGAUUUGUACAAAUUUUUAUUAUGAAUUUGAAAAAAUAUGUAUGCCUGGUAUUUUAAUUUAUAAGAGAAAUAUAGUUUAACUAGGUGUUUGAUGAAAGUAACUAAAUGUUUGAUGAAAUGCCUCAAAAAAGACAUUUGGCUGCAACUACGGAAUUUUGAAUAUUACAAGCAGUCCUUUUGUAACACAUGUUCUUGCGCCCUUAGAGUACUACCCAAUAAAAUGCCACACAUGGCUUCUAGUCUGGGUUGUGGUACGGGCUUAAAGGUGCCUCCCACAGUUGGGGCCCUCCCCAGGAUACCUCGUGAUUAAUAUAAAAAAAAAAAAUAAGAAGUAGCUAGCUGCGUGCUUCAUUGAAUUACCUGUGCUGGCUCACAUGCAUGUUUGGAUUCGGUUCGUACAAAAAAUCUAAAUUUCAAAGUUUCUUGACAGUUUGAAUCAUUUUGCAUACCAAGAGCGAAACAGGGGAGAAAAGCAAAUAGAUAUGAGAAUGCAAAUGUUAGUAAAGAGAGAGAGAUCUAGAAGGAAAUUAAGGAUGCGUUUGAUAUUGUUUUUCACCAAUCAUUUUUUCAUUGUACAAAAACAUAAAAGAAUGCAAAAUGGUGUUGGCUUGAGAACAUAUUUUGUGUGUGUGUGUGUGUGUAUAUAGAUAUAUAACCAUUCUGCGGGGGCCCUAAUACGGAUAUGUUCUUAAAUCAUGGGGUUUUAUAAACUUAUUUAUAAAUUAUAAAACCAUGCAAUUUAAGAGUUGAGAUCUUAACUCUAGUAAAUUCUAUGGUUUAAAAGUGUGUUCGCAUGAAAAAAAAAAAAAAUUAGGAUGACACCUGCAUUAUAGAAUGAGUGUAUAUAUAUAAAGUAAACUAUCUCGUUGUAAAUUGACUAUCCUUAAAUUAUUAUUUUAUUGUUUACAAUCUCAAGUUAACCUAUUUUUAUUCAAAAUGUGAGAGAAUAAUGAGGUUGAGUUGAUGAUUUUUUUUUUUUUUUUGGUCUUCUUAACAAAAUAUAAGAUAAACUAAGGUUUUUGAAAAUAAUGGGAGAUUUGAAGAUAGUAAAGAUAAUCUGCAAUUAUCCCUAAAAAGGAAACAAGUAACGGUUGAUUCCUCGCUUCAUAAACUAGGAGUAUCGUUAAAGAUGCCAAUUUGGUUGGGUUCUCUUUACCUUGUUCUAGGCAAGCAUUUGCUUAUUUUUCAAAUUCAUUAUAUUCUAUUUGUUCACAAUGUUUUGUCGAUAUGUAAAUCUGUUGAGCAAUAGUUUGAAAAUUCAUCCUCACAAUUAUUAGGGAGAAAUCUAGGAAAAUUUAUAAAAAUAUGCCAAUAAAUUAUGGAUUUUUUAAAAUUAACCCCACAAAAUUAUAUUUAUCAUAAUUAGCCAAACAAUAUCUUUUUGGACUGAAACACCCCCUACAUUUCACGAUCCCUAUUCCCUUUGUUCUCUACCUUAACAAACCAAAACUUAGUUUCACAACAUUAUCAUUGUCGGUGAUGGUGACGAAGUACGGGGAAGGAAUACAUCAUUGGUGAUGGAAUAGAGCAUGUCUACGGCAACAGUGAUGGGAAAACCAAAUCCGAACAAGUCCAAACGAAUCCAAACCCUGCUUCAUCAUUAUUCAUUUUUUAGUGAUAUUAAUGAUCUCGAAUGGAAUUGUAGGUGAACUGAACUCAACCUAAACACACUCAUUUUAAUUCUGAAGGCAUCCAUUCACAUUUAUAGUGUCUUGGAUUUGGAGACUCCUCUAAACCAAAUCUAGAUUGAGUUACUUUUCGUUUUGGGGUGACAUCAAACGCAUCUCAGUAUCUUACACUCCUUUUUCAUCAAAGCAUAAUCUUAGAAAGCCCGCAAAAUUUCCACGAUGAAAAAUACUAUUGGCUGACCAACAUGACCACAGCACAAAUUAUUUAGGGGCUAUUUAGUAUUGUUUCCGAAUUUGUAUUUUAUGAAAACAAAAAUGAGAAUGAAAAUAAUGUUUUGCAGUUGCUGUAUUUCGAAUUUUAGUACACAUCUAGUAUCAUUUUUCUGCAUCAUGUAUUUUAAAACUACAAACAGUAAUAUACCUUUGGUAGACACAAUUGAAAAUGAUAAAAAUAAUGAAUAAAUAUUCGGUAGUACCAUUUUUAAAAACAAUUUUUAUAAAAUAUUUAAGUCAUACUUGUAGUUAGAAAAUAAUUAUUCAACUAAUACAUACACAAACAUACCAUAAAUAAUUUAAACAAAAAUAAUUAUAAAAAAUUACAUGAUGAUAAAAUUUUAAUAUUAGCAUUAAUAAAAAAAAGUUUUAUAUUAUCAUUGUUUUACACUAUAAUUAAGAUAUAUAUUAUAACACAGAUGAUUUAAACAAAAUAAGUAUAAAAAUUACAUGAUAGGCAUCAUGCAUUACAUGUGUAAUCAUGCCGCAUAAAAUGCAAUUUUAUCUUUUGUAGCAUUCAUCUCUACAACACUGAAUAGUAGUAAAUGGCCUACUAAUAUCUCAUUCAUUUGUAACCAUAUCUUACACAUCAAAGUCCUCAAACAACCUAUCACUAGCAUUUUUUCGUUGAAUAAAAUUAUGUAAAACACAACAUGAAAUUAGAAUUAGACGUCGCUUAUGUAAACUAUAAUUAUGCUCACCAAUCAACAUCAUGUGGAUCCAUAUCGUGUUACUACAAAAUUUAAAAAAAAAUCACAUAUAUCAAAUAUUAAUUAAAUUAAAGAAACUGCUCCUACACAUACAUAGCUCAGACUUUUAAAAUUAAUCAAAUUCAACAUAGAAUGAAAGCCAUUUCAGUAAUGUGUCAUAGAUUAAAAAUUGAACAUAUCACAAUCAAAUGUAUUCUACUACAAAUUGACCAAUUCAAAUUAAGACCAAGCUCUUGUCAAAAGUUUUUAUCUUUAACUCAUUUUUUCACAACACAACAAAAAUUUAAGAAAAAUGAAAUCAAGGUAAUGUACACUAAACCAAUCGCAUCUAAAUGAAUACAACAUGAUAUUAUUACAAUCAGUUCACGCUAAUCUCUACAAUUUUUGCAUUAAUAUGCUUUCGGUCCCUGAUAUAUUAAAUGAAAUGGCAAUGGAAUUGGACAAGAACAACCAAUACUGUCAAUAACUCACAACACCCACAUGCUUUGCUGUGAAACUCCGCAUCAAAAUGGUAAAUAAUAUGCCUUUGCAUGAUUUUCCAACACAACAAGACAACCAAUUCCAAAUAAGAACAACAAAAUCAUAUUUACAAAAUAAAUAUUUAAUCGGUCCCUAUUUUAUAGUCCAACUCCUAGAAUAGAAUUGAUGAAAUCUUGGCUAGCAAAACAAUCACUUAAGAGAUGUCAAAAAACUCCGACCUGAAUUUUGAUCCAAUUGAUCCAGUCCGAAUUUUUUGGGUUUUGACCCGAAGUUAAGGGUCAAAAUUCAAGCUUAGGCUUAAAAAUAAAAGCCCGAUCAAAAGCCUGACCUCUGACUCAACUCUACCCGAUUACUUAAUAAUUAGCCGACCCAACCCGACUCGACUCGAUUACUUAAUAAUUAAAAAAAAAGUGUGUUUUAAUUUGAAUUGUGUGACUUUAUUUGAAUUAGACAUGGUUUUUUUUUUGUUUAUGUUUAGUUAUUUAUAUGAUUUUAUGGUUGAGAUAUCGAUUGAAGUAAUUUUUAUAUUUAAUUUGAAUAUAUUAGGGGAGGUAAAUUUAAAAUAUUUAAAUAUUAAAAAAUAUUAAGGUUGGGUCUCCGAAAGUGAAAAUUCAGGCUUUUUAUUGGGUUCGGAUCCUUUAUUUAUAUUAUCGAGUCGGGCUCGGACUUUAUUAGCCACAAUUUUUAUUUCAUGAUCAUGAUCACAAAACAAAACAAAACAAAAUAGUAUGAUAAUAAUUAGUAAAAAUUUACUCAAAUACAAAAAAAAGUAAUUAUCCACCGUCCACCUGUUUUUUCAAACUUUUUUAAAAUAUACAAUUCUUAAUUUUUUUUUACUGAGCUCCACUUGAAGUUAUAUUUUUUUGCACAUGUCCACUAUCGUCUUCAAACCGAUAAGACUUUUCUGACGUCAUAAGGGUAUAAUAAUAAUUUCACCUAUGCUUCAAAAACUUAAUUUGGACAAUAUUCCGUUAGUUUUCUUAAUGGUUUGAAGACGGCAGUGGACAUGUGCAAAAAAAUAAAACGUCAAGUGGAACUCAGUAAAAAAAAAAAUUUGCGUAUUUUGAAAAAGUACAAAAAAAUAGGUGGAUGAUGGAUAAUUACCCUAAAUAAAUACCAAUAACUCACAAUAGCAUAGAUGGAGUCGAGAGAGGAGCAACAACAAACGAGAUAGUUGAGAUGGAGCAGCAUCGGCGGAGAUGGAGGAACAACAAUGGUUGAGAUGAAGUAGCAGCGACAACAAAGAUGGAGUACGGCAGCUGAUUUGGGCACACCGAGAGAGAAUAAUCGCCACUGUUAGUAGAUUGAGAGGGAUAAAGAGAGAGAGUCAGCGUUAUUGGACAAAGAAAUAAGGAUAAAGAGAUAAGGCCGAGACUUUUAGAUUUUAUUUUUUAAUUUAGUUUUGUAAUACGUGGAGAACAUGUUAAACAUGUUCUCACUUUAAUAGUUAUAAAAGUGAAUCUCAGCUUAUUUAUUUUACAAUUUUUUUUUUUUAAAUUUCAACCAUCAAACAUGUAUUAACUUAGAUUCAUAAAAGGAAAAUGAAAAUAGAGCCCAUAACACGUUGCCGAACAGACCCUUAAAUACUCAUAUUCUUCUAUUAAUUAACGUAAAGCCCACUAUUAUUGUCAAAAUUUUUUUAUUUUAUCCAUUGAAAGUCUGAUGGAAAAGUGUCACGAAACUCACAACUGGACACAUGGCCAAUUACCGAAUGAAUUUCCUUAGCAAAAACGUGAGAUGCUUGGCUUUCAUGUUCUGGCCGCUAUCAUCAUCCCAAUUUUGUAAUUCAAUUCAAUUCGAUUUCUUACAGAUUUUUGCAAUAAAAAAAUUAAGGUGGCAAAGUUUGCUUCAAUGGAUAGUUAAUUGCACUAUUUUAGAAAUUAAAUUGCCAUGAUUUUAAAAUCGACAUUAUGAUUUGUAAACAUUAUAUAUAUUUAUGUUAAAUCUUUCUUAAAUAGAUAGGGAUCCUAAGUCCUACCCCACAUGAGCUAAAUAUAACAAUUUAAAUAGUAGAUGACAGUAUAAGUGAAGUUCACAUACGCUCAUACUUUAAGAAUUGGUUUUUGUGAGUAAUGCCUUAUUUAAAAUUAAGGUUAGACAGUUGUAAAUUAAAAUGUAUAAUAUUAAGUAUUUGACAAAUAUUAACUAUUAUAACUUGAAAAUUAAGAUAAUUACUAGUACAGCCGGUUUUGCGUGGCUUUGUUUCAUUUUACAAUUUUUCCGAUAAAAGCAAAGAAGUUUUAUGACAAACACGACCAAACUUGGUCCUUUUUCUGUCCCAGAAAGCACGAAAUCACCAACCAAAGAAACCAAACUGUCAAAAUAUAUAUUUUUUUAAGCAAUUUUUCAUAAUGUCUUUGUACUGCUGCUCUUUAUAUAAUAGUCACAAAUUCUUAUAUAAAUUUAUUUUGUACAAACUGAUAUUACACUAUAAGGCAUGAUUUAUUUUUAUUAUUUUAUAUUUUCAUUCAAUCAAUAAAUUAAUGUCACGUCAGUUUGUACAAGAUAAAUUUAUACAAGAGUUUGUGGUUGUAUUAUCACUCUAAUCCAACAAUGGAUUCAAAAUUAAGAGCAGUUGCACAUGAGUUUCUUCCAUAUUUUCGUGCAUACAGAUGGGCAUGGGGAAGGGUUCUUUGGCGCCGAUAAAGUUUCAGCAUCAGUGGAUUCCCCAAAUGCUGUCUUCUCCAAAGAUGUAGUUAUUGUGCCAGAGAAAGGCGUAACAGCAAGAAUCUUCAUCCCUUCAGCCGCCAUUAAAACAAACCAAAAGCUCCCUCUUCUAUUAUCACGGCGGAGGCUUAUUCAUGGGCUCACCAUUUUGUUCCACGUACCACAACUAUGUCGGCUCUCAUUCAGCCAAAGCAAAUGUUAUUGUAGUCUCAGUUGAUUACAGAUUAGCCCCUGAACACUUGGUCGCUGCAGCUUAUGAAGACUUGGGCUGCUCUCAAAUGGGUUGCUUCUCAUUUUAAGAUCAGUGCUCAUGGUUAUGAAACUGGGCAAAACACUCGUGCUAAUUUUACUUGUGUUUUUACGCGGUAACAGUGCUGGCGGCAAUAUUGUGCACAGCAUGGCAUUUCAAGCGAGUUUUGAUGACUUGAAUGGGAUAAAACUGUCAGGAAUUUGCUUGGUUCAGCCAUAUUUUGGGAGAAAUGAUGGAUUUGUUGAUAACUGCUGGGUAAUUUGUAUGUCCAUAUAUAAGUGGGUUCAAUGAUGUGAGAAUAAAACCAGCUGCUGACUCUGGGCUAAGAAGCCUGAGGUGCCCCAGGGUUCUUGUUUGUGUUACUGAGAAGGACAAUUGGAGAGACGGGAUUGUUUGAUUAUGAGACUUUGAAAAUUGUGGGUGGGCUGGAGAAACUGAGAUUGUGGAGACACAAGGAGAGGAUCACGUGUUUUAUUUGUUCAAUCUAGAUUCUGAAGAGGCUGUGCCCUUGAUGGAUAAAUUAGCUUCAUUUUUAAAUCGAGAUAAUGUAUUCUGAUGUGAUCACCGGAAACUCAGUAAUGUGUGUACUAUUAAUUUAAUGUUGUUCUUCAUCAUAUUUCUCUUUGGUUUCAAAUCAUACGGACAUUGUUUCGUUACCAGGAACUUUUAACGUUAAUUAAGAACAAGAUUAACGAAUGAAAGAUCAAAGAGAUGGGCAAAAUCAAUGAAAGAUCAAAGAGAGAAGCAAAUUAUAUCAAAUCGAGAACAACCUGCAGGAACAAUUUAUGCGGCUUGAUAAGGUUGCUUAUAUAAGAAGAUAAAAAAGCUGAGCUAGCUUCAUUAAGAAGUGGCGGAUCUAAGAAUUUAGAUUUGGGCACUUGGUUCAAAAAUUUUUAAAUCAGUUUAGAGGUUUGGUUCUUCCAAUUGUUUACUCAACCACAUUUAAAGUCUCAAAAAUCCAGGCUUUACUUUUCUUUUUCAAAAUUAAAAAAUUGGCCAUGUUUAUAUGCAAUUAAUUUGCCUCUCUUUUAACUUGUGAUUCUUUUUUCUUCUAAAUCACUUCAUUUAAUCAGCAUAAUGGUUAAGCCAAUCCACAGGACCUUGUCCAUUAGCAUGGUAAGCAACCCAUUUGAGUGCAGCCCAUGAAUCUUCAAGAGCACAGGGGACAUGAUUCUCUGGAGGUCGUCGAUGGUCAAAGGAGACCGAAAUAACUUUACCUUCAGAGACCAAGAUAUUAACAUAAUUAUGGUAAGUAGGAUGAAAGACAUAAUUAAUAGAUGCAAAAGCCUCCGCCAUAGAUAUGAACCACUAGCGGGAGUUUAUGGAAUUCAAACAAUUCAUAAAAUUGAGUUAGAUGAAAUCCACAAUAAAACUCAUAACAGUUACUUCACUCUUACAAAUUUUUUUAAUAAAUCUUUAUCUUUUUUUGAUAAAAAUAAAUCUUUAUGUUAAACGGGUUUUUGUGAAGAUUGUUGGUUUCCUUUUUCUUUAAAAUAUUAAAAAUUAUUGUAGUGGGGCCAUCCACCUCAGAAAGCCAGAACAAGAAGAGCUGUGCUGGCCUGCUCUGCACAAGGUUGCGUAUCUUUCCUUUCUUCUAUUUUAUUUUGUGGACCUGUCUACCUUACAGAUUCUGUAACAUACGCACCCAAUGUAUGUACCACACCUGUCCUGCGUAUGGAGAAAAAGCAUGCAAUUGUUUUUGUUUGGUAGCUAGCUAACCAAUCAGGAGCUGGCUAAGUUGGAUCUGUAUGUUACAGAAUCUGUAACUUAGCCAGCUCCUUAUUUUGUGCUUAAAACUUUUGUUAUUUAGUCUUGUCCUCGUGAUGAAUUAACAACGCAAAACAAAAUCAAGAACACUGAGGACAAUAUACGUGGCUUGGUAAGGUUGCCUACGUCCAAGAGAGAAAACAGCGUAAUGUCACGCUCACGGCCCACUCAAGUUUGUCACGGAGACUAAAUUCACAAGGGUUUGCUCAAUAAAAGUCCGCUCAAAGAUAGGAUGCGCUCAACAGUAGAAUAUGCUCAACAGUGAGCUGCCUCAUAUAAUUAGCGACUCGUGGUAUAUUAGUAAAUUCACAAAUUAAAGUGAGUGAGUCCAGCCUGAUUCUAGAACUCUUUAUAAAUCUUUGCAACUUAUAUUGUCUAAAUAAUUAUACACUUACGUAAUCUAGAAUCUAAUAGAUUUUUAGGCAACUUACAAAAACUUGCAAGGAACCAUCUAGAUCUAGACGAGUCACUCUAUAAAUAAGGCAUGACGUCAAUCAUUUUGCUCAACCACAACACUAAACACCACACCACACACUAACACACCAAGCAAGCAACUCAAGCAUUAUUAUAAAGCUCUCUUAUAUUUUCUCUUUCGAGAAAUAAAAUUUACUUUGGCCAUAUUACUCUCCUCUCUCUAGCUUUCUCUCAAGUAUCCUUGUUGGCUAGCUUGAGAAAUUCUCUAGGCUUACUUAACAAUUUUUGUUCUAAAAAUUAUUUAAAUACCACAUGAGUUGCUGCGUAAAAUAUUUAUCCCGUGACAAUAAGCAUGUUUCAUCAACGAAUGCCAACUAAAGGUUACAUUAUGCACUCCUCAGAGAACAAUUUCCCGGUUUGCAAUCUUCUUUAAUCUCACUCAAUAACAAGAAAAUUGCUUAGAAAUGUGCACUGGUCACCAGCUUUUAAACCCCUGUUUCAAGUCUAUUCAGCGUGCAACUAAAUCACUGUUAGCCCUAGUAAGUUGCUAGCUCAGCACCGUCAUGUCACGAGUCGAGUAAUAGAAUUGGAAAAUGAUGUUUGAUCAGCCCAAACCCCUUAUGUUAACGGACAAAUAAAAAUAAAAAUUAAGAAUAAUGUUAUUUACACACAAAAUUGCAUAUGACAAAUAGAAUGAGGACACUUAUAACAACAUAUUAUUAUAACUAUUAUUUAUUCAAAUAUUUUUUUAGCUCUGUAUUUUCUAAAUUUUUCUCAAUUGUAAAUAUCACAGAACUAGUUUUCUAGGGCAUGUAAUAAUAUUUUGUCAGCCUCAUAUUGCAUAUAUAUGUUCAUUGAUCAAUGAGAAAUGUGAGUAAUUCCUCUAAAAAUUCAAGCUCUGUUAUGGUAUCAUAUCAAUUUUAAGUGGUAGCCAAUUCUCUCUUCUUUGUCUUUUAUCCAGUCAUCCCGACCAAUCCUUCAUCCUCCACCACCAUUUACAACACCAAUGAAACUCACAACACCAGUAUCACUAUCAAUGUUACUACAUCUCAUGGAAGUUGCAAUUUAAUAUCUUAUUCAUUGUCUAUGAUCUAUUUGGUUUUAUUGAUGGAUCUAAAUCGGGAUUGCUAUCUCUUAUUUGAUCUUGGUGUUAGUCUUUUCUGUUAUAGAAUGUUAUAUACUGUGUGACAAUACUGGGGCCAAUCAACUCUGUUAUAGUCCCAUUUUUCGUUCAAGAAUGAAGCAUGUUGCUAUUGACUUUCAUUUCAUAAGACAUAAAGUCCAACGUGGUGCUCUUCAUGUCACUCAUGUGUCUUCUGCAUAUCAGAUAGCUGAAGCUCUCACCAAGCCUCUUCCAUGAGCCCGUUUUCUCACUCUCAAGGUCAAGAUUGGACUUCUCUCCCAAGCUCCGUCUUUAGGGAGCAUAACAGCAAAUUACUAUCCUUAGUUGUAACUAUUAUUUUUUCAAAUAUUUUUUAUUUUUUAUUUUCCUAUCUUUUUCAACUACAAAAAUCACAACACUAGUUCUCAGGAUCUGUUACAAUAUUUUGUUAAUCUCUGAUUAUAUUAAUCAAUGAGUAAUGUGAGCCAUUACUCUAAAAACUCAAGCUCUGUUAACUUGUACAUAUGGAUAAAAUUAAAGAGAGUAGUGUUAUGCAUCACAAAAUUUCACCUCAAUUAAUUUGACAUUCAUUCAUUAUUUGAUGAGAUAAUGUAAUUAAUUCGCUUAAAAUUUAUAAAAAAUCAUUAACAAUUUAAUGAAUGAAUAUCAUAUGCCACAUUAUUUAGAAUGAAAUUUUAGGAGUAUAUUUUAUAUGUCUAUAUAAAUGAAUUUAUUUUUUAGUGGAAUGUUUCUUGUCUUAUGUACAAAUAGUAUCAUUCUAUGUUGAACUUUGUUUUUGGGGGGACUUUUUAGGCCUAACCUCGGGCUCUCCGGCCAUGCGGUGAUUGUAUCAUCACUCAAUAGAAUUAGCAGAAACUAACAAUUAUGCUACCUUGCACGAAGCAAAGUAGAAUAAAAAAAUACAUGAAUUAUUGAAAGGACUCAAAUGCCCUGCAUUUCAUUAGCAAUAGAAUAGUGAUAUGUGCACAAAAAAUAGCACAGCAUUAGAAAAAAAAAAUUCAGUGUUAGACAAUAUUUAUUUAUUUAUAAGUCAAAUGUAUAUUUUUUUUCUUUUGUAUUUUUGUGCCUUUUUUCCUACGAGUAUCAUUAUUCUUUAUGAUAAUAGAUAACAAUAAUGUGAAAACUGAAAAUGUGCCAAAGCUAUAAAAUGGCUUGCAAUUAAAACAUGCAUUCAUAUGGGUCUUCUUCAACAUUUUGGUCAUACUGAUCUGUAUUAGGGCAAAAUAGCAUUAUUGCCAUCAUUUUGGUCAUAGAAUUAUGUUAUUAUCGACUGAGUUCUAUGAUUAAUAACUAGAGAUGGCCAAUGGGCCGGGCGGCACGAGGCACAGCACGGGCACAACACGCACGCGGACCGUACCGGGCCUAGAAUUUUAGGUACGUAGGCCUUAAAAGUACGGCAUGAUUAGAGAUGAGUCAAAGCACGGCACGCGAAAAGGUACGUAAUAAGAACAUCACCAAAAGGCUCUUCAAAUAAGUAAUAAAUUUUAUUACUUAUUUGAAGAGUCAUAUUACUAUUUAAAGCUCCAAAAGACACUCUAAUUAAGAUUCUUCAAAUAAGAAAUGACUCUCUCUCUUUAAAUUUGGAGAGUUGAUUUAUCUCUCUUCAAUUUAUAUUUUAUUACUUUUCAUUGAAGAAAGAGAGAGAAGUGUUUUAAUUAUUAUUGACUUUUUCUUAAAAAAAUAAUUAUUUGAUUAAAAUAAUAUUAACUUAUUUCUAUUUGAAGAGUUUUUUGGAGAAUAUCAUAUUUUUUCACCAUUUUAUUUGCCACAUAGGUAAGCAAAUAGACAUUUGAAGAGUAAAAUUUAUAGAGGCUUUUGGAGAUGCUCUAAGCACGCUUCAUUGGUGGGUUAAGCAUGCGGCCCGUGGGCCAUCAAUAGCACGUGGACCAAAGUAUAUCAAAGUAAAAUUUUUUAAUGAAAAAUAAAUAUAAAAUAUCAUGAAUUUACAAAUAUCUUGUAAUUAAAUUUUUUAAUAUAUUUUUUUUAGCAUAGACUUUUAAAAAUUAAUUUAAGUUCUAGUUUAAAUAAAUAUUCUAAUUUUUUAUGUUUAUAAAUUAUUAAAUGGAUAAAUAAAUAUCAUGAUUUUAUAAAUGAUAAAUAAAAAAUUUUACGACAUUAAUAUUUCAUUUAUGAAAUCAUAACUUAGUUAAUAGAUAAUGGAGAUAUGUUUCAUUUGUGAAUGAAAGAUUUUUCAUAUUUAUGCACAAAAAAAAAAACUUAUGAACAAAAUAUUUUUAUGAUAAAUUAAAAAUUAUAUUUUCAUUCAAUGGAGUUCAAGUGCAAUUAUAAUAUUAGUAGUUCAAAUAAAAUUAGGUAUAAUUGUUAUUCUAGAAUUGUAAUUUUAUUUUUCAUUAAUCAUUACUAUGAUUUAUGAAAUUAUUAUUAUUAUUAUUAGGCUGGUGGAAUUAAAAAAACACGUCAGGUACUUGAAAAAAACACGCCAGACAUGUGAACUUUUUUAGGCACACUGGACAUGUCUUAAAGGAAAAACAAAAAAAAGUUUGGCGGGCAUUUUUGGACACGACCCAUGGCACGGCACGGCACGGCAUUGGUGGGCCGUGCCGUGCCGGCCCACGAGCCCAUGUGGGCCGUGCCGUGCCGGCCCACGAGCCCAUGUGGGCCGAUGUUUGAUGGGCUGUGCCGGCAAUUGGCCAUCACUAUUAAUAAAUAAUAACUAUCGUUUUAGUCUCCUCACCUUUUCACCUAUUGCUUCCCCCCUGCUUGUUAGGUGGUAAUCUACAAACGCCAAUUCAAUAUCUUACCUAUUUUGAUCGAUUGCUUCAAUUCAUAUCAAAAUCAUAAUAUGUGACUAUUAUCAAUGUGUAUCAACACUACUUUUGCUCGUUUUACUAAUUGUUAGUCAUAAUUUUAAUAAAUGAGAUUUUUUGGGUGGCGGGUAUUAUUACCAUCCAAGAGAGUGAUCCAUUAAAAAUCAUGUUGGAUUUCCUAAUGAAAUUGUAGCCUUGUACUUGUCAGAGUGGAUACACUAUUAAAUAUUAAGAUAAUGUUUCAUUUCAAACUUUUAUUUACACCAACCCUAGAGGCUACGCAAGUAAACACAAAAUUCUAGCUCAUGGACCUUUAGCUGGUGCCUGGUUGUAUGCACUAUUCAACCGGUAUAAAUGUGUUCACCAAACUUUCCGUCGUCAAGUUUCUUUUCUUUUUUAAAAACUAGGAUGAACAAAAUAUAAAUUAAUUCGUAGUCCCUAUUAAUUUUUCAUGAUUCGAAAUUUAGUUGAUUAGUACAAGAAAAUUACUUGAAAUUAUCAAAUUGAAUGACAAGAAAAUCAAUUUUUUAAUUUAUUCACGACAAUAAAAUGAAGAGUGAUUAAAUAUGCACAUGAAAUCAUCAAUAAUGGCAGGAUCUUGACAUAUCUGAACAUAUUCAACUGAAUAUCUCAUUCAUAUAUUGUUUUUUUCAUGAAUACGACAUUCAUAUUUAAUCACUCUUUAUUUGAUCACCAACCCAACAUUUUCUUUUUGCAUGCUAACCAACUGGACUGUCAUAUAUUAUGAACUAUAUUCAUUGUUAUGUAUUGGAAACUAUAUUAUGGACUAUAUUCAAAGUAGCAUUAUUGCCAUCAUUUUGGUCAUAGAAUUAUGUUAGCAUUGAUUGAGUUCUAUGAUUAAUAACUAUUAUUAGUCUCCUCAGUUUUUCACUCAUUGCUUACCCUUCAUUGUUAGGUGGUAAUCUCUAAACGCCAAUUCAAUAUCCUACCUAUUUUGAUCUAAACUAUUGCUUCAAUUCACUUUACAAGAAAAAUUAUAUUUUAUUAUAAAAAAAUUUAGUCACUAAAGAUGACAGGUUGGUUACUUUAUAUUUUCUACGAUAAAAAAUAAAUUGUCACAUGUAGAGCUGGUAAAAUUUGAUACAACCCGAUUACCCGACACGAAUACGACAUAAAUAAAUGGGUAUGGGUCAUCAAAUUUAACACGAUUAUUAAAUGAGUCGGGUUUGGGUUGACACGAUUUUUUUCCGUAUCGGGUUAGGGUUAAAAUUCUUGACCCAUUUACCCGAUCAAUGACCCAAUUAUAUUUUCUAUUUUAAAAUAAUUCACAAGUUCUUGUCAUCAAAACUCAAAUAUUAAAGAUUAUUUUCUCUUUUAUUUUUAUUCUUUAAAAGGAUGAAUAUAAACAUAGUGUUUUAUUUAUAAAAUUUUAAAUACAUUUAGAGAUUCAAUAGUGUAAAUGCGUAAAAUAUUGGUAGACAUGUAUAUUUUAUAAUAUUGAUAUAUAAUAUUAUUUACAUAUAUAAAAUUAAAACCUCAAUAGUGUAAAUGUGUAAUAUUUUGGUAGAUAUAUAUAUUUUAUAAUAUCGAUAAAUUAUGUAUGUAUGUAUGUAUGUAUGUAUGUAUGUACAUAUGUAUGACAGUGUGUAAAUAUUUGAUGUAACUUUUGUUUAAUAUAUAGAUAUUAAGUGGGUUAUUGGGUAACCUGAUUAUUUUUCUGUGUUGAGUUUGUAUCUCAAUAUUUUGACACGAUUAUUAAAUGGGUUGGAUUUGAGUUAAGCUAAAUUUAACACGACCCGAAGUUGACACGACACGAACACGACCCAAUGACCCGUGUUGGAUUUGGGUCAAGCUAAAUUUAAAAAUAUAUUUUUGUGACAAAAAUCAUUGUCUUAAAAUUAAGUUAAAAUCAUCACAAAUGGUAUUCAAAAUGGUCAAAUUAGAGAUUCAAAAAUGUAAUCAAUGACACUUGACAUUUGUCAUAAUAGAUGAUUUAUAGUGACCAUAAUAUCUAUCUCAAGAUUAUGUAAAAUAUAGUCACAAUAAUUACUAAAAUUCGUCAUUUUAGAGGUUCGAAAAUGUAAUUAUGCAACGCUUUUUUCUACUGUUGAAGUUUAUAUAUCACAACGUUACAUAAUCAUCCCAAAUAAAAAAAUUGUUUUAAGGACAAUUUAUUUUGUUAUUGCAUGACCAGUUAGAUGACCUUUGCAACAACUACAUUUAGUCAUAAAAAUUAACAUUUUGUGAUAGAUCCAUUCAUUGCAAAAUAUGUGUAAUGUAGUCUCACAUUAUUUUUAACCACAAUAUAUUUUAUUAUUUGACUACUAUUUAUAUCGUAUCCAAAAAAUUGAAGUGACUUCUCUCAAUCAUCAUUAAAAAAAAAAAUCCACAACAACAUAUUGUAGUGGCAUAAAUUGAAAUUUAGUGACCAAAAAAAUUGUAGUCACGUGAAAAAGGAUUUAAAAUAUGUAAUUACAAUCCAAAAGACUCAAAUACAAAGCAUGGCAUUGAAAUCCAAAUAAAUAUUGUUCCUUGCAAAGAAAUAUAAAGAUAAAAGUCAUAAAAAAAAGUCUCUAUUGUUUCAAGUACCAUUUGAUUUAGAUGUUGCACAUGUGAGUUGAUCAACCACGAUGAACGGAAGACAGUUUACAACAAUUUUACUUGUUUUUUCCUGAUUGUUUCUAUAAUUGAUUUUGUUAGAAAAUAUUAUUAAGGGUAUUGGGUCCGCCUAUGUUGCAACAGUUGCAACAUACCACUACUUUUGUCAUUUUGUAAUUUAACCAUUGGAUCCAAGGCAAGAAUGGUAAAAGCAAAUCCAAUGGUAGGGUGUAUUUAUUUUGGUUUUUUCAUUGCAAUCCCUCUUGUUUUUUGAAAUGUCAGGAAAAAAAUAUAAUUAUUAUUAUUUUAUUUAUUAGUUUAGUUGUUAAAUGAUAUGAAUAAGGAAUAAGUAUGAAAUUUAAGAGGACUUUUAUUAUUGAUAUUGGGCAAUUACAAUGCAUGAUUUAAUACUCGUUUAUUUAUUCCACAAAUUCAUAAAUAUUUCAUAAUUUAUUAAUUAUUACUAUCAUUUCUAGAUCUACUCUCAUUAUUUAAAUUUAUUAAUAAUUAUAUAUUAAUUAUUAUUUUAUAUUAAUUAUUAAUAUAUAAAUAUAAUAUGAUAUAAUAAAAUAAUAUUAUAAUAUAAUUUAUUUUUAAUAUUAUAAUUAUUAUAGUAAAAAUAAAAAUAUAAUUUAAAUAUAUUUAAUGUAACUUUUACAAUCUAACUUUUAAAACUUCCAAACAUAGGUAAGUAAUAAAUUAAUGUGAACAAUAGUAUAACAAUAUACAAUAUUAUGUUUUAAACACAUUCUAAUGGUGCGUUUAUUAAAUAAGAAUUGAAAUGAACUAGAAUUGUAAUAAGAAAUUUGAAUUGGAAUAAGUUAUUUACUUGAGCUAUACAAAUUGGAAUCAGAAUGAACAACAUUCCAAUUGAUGUGUUUACUUUAUUUUAUAAUUGGAAUAGGCUAUUAUAAGUUAUUAAAAUGUCAUUUGUUAAUUGUGUCCCUAAUAUUAUUUGUAUAUAUUAUAAUUAAAACAAUAAUAAUAAUAAAAAACUAAAAAUAAUAAUUAUGACAAUAAUGUUAAUUAAAACAAAAAAUUAAAAAAUUUAACAAUAAUAAUAAUAACAACAAAAUUAACUGAAAUAAUAAUAUUAAUAAUGAUAAUAAAAAAAAUAAAAAUUAUUAAUAAGUUUUAAUAAUAAUAAUAACAACAAUAAUUAAUCAUAAUUAAAAUAAUAAAGUUAAUAUAUUUUAAUAACAAUAAUUUUAAUCAUAACAAGAUAAAUAUUAAUAUUAAUGAAUUAAUUACAGUAUAAUAACAAUUAAAAUAAUAAAAGUAAUAAAUUUUAAUAAUAAUAAUGAUAGUAAUAAUCAUAAAUAAUAAUUAAAAUAAAUAAAAAUAAUAAAUUUAAUAGCAAUAAUCUUAUAUAAUAAUAAUAAUGAUAUUAUUAAUAAUAAUAAUAAUAAUAAUAAUAAUAAUAAAUUAAAAUUCUUUUCAAAUAUCAUUUUAUUUCAAAAAUGGACUUAUAUGUAAACGUUUGUUACUUUUAGUGGCUAUUAAAUUUUACAAAAAAUAUAAUGUAGUGUAGUGUAAUCAAACACAAAAGGACAAAAGUUGUUGUAUGUUGCAACUAUUGCAACAUAGGCGGCUCCUUAUUAAGGAUUAAAUUACUUGAAAAACCAAAAAAAAAAAAAUCUUCACUGCAAAAGUUAAGAAAAUGUAUGGACAAAAGUUAGAAGUAUCUAAUAAAGGUUAGCCAUAAACUUCAAUAUGCAAAAGUGCUUUAAUAAAGUAGCUGCAAUAAACAAAACUCGCCAACUAUAAAGACCUACAAUAGUAGGCUACAAUAAAUCACAACUAGCAACUGUAGUUCUCCAAAACCAGCAUAGAAAGACCUGGAAAUAGUAAAAAGUAAUGCAUGAAAUUAAGAGAAAAUAGUGGCAAAAAAAAAUGCAAAACUCAAUAAAUAAAAAUAAAAGUGUACAGGAAUACAACAGUAAAUUAAAGAAGAUUAAUUCAUUAUUACUGUGUUAAUAAGGUUUUUUUAGUAGCAAUGUUGCCUCCAAUUGAUUUUGUAGGGGCUACAUGUAAUUGAUAAUUUCAUCCAACACGAGGGCCUUUCCAAUUACCUAAUUUUAUGCCAAAACAUAUAAAGUUUAUAAGAAUUAUUAUAAGUAUGAAAACUCAUUAUUUGUUUUAAAACAAGAAAAAGUGAAUUAAAAAAAAAGAAAAUUUCAAAUGACUUAAUUACCACAGCCAUUAACAAGUUUUUGUAAAAUUUUCAUCCUCUUACUAACUUUCUCUCUUCUUACUUGAAACCAAAUAAUGAUAAGACCUUAUCAAAUAAUAAUAAUAAUAAUAAUAAUAAUAUGACAAGACAACUACUUGCUAGACUUUCACAAAAAUUAGAAAUUAAAAUAAUAUAAUAGAUAGUUAGGGAUAAAAUGGAAAAAAAAAGUUUAAAUUUGUAUCAAUAUACUCAUCCUUUUGCUAAUAUAUAUGUGACAAUUAUCAGAUUGUACUAACACUACCUUUCCUCCUUGUACUAGUUAUUAGUCAUAAUUUUAACAAAUGAGAUUUUUGGGUUGGCGGGCAAAAUUGCCAGCGGAGAGAGUGAUCCCUUGAAAAUUAUGUUGGAUUUCCUAAUGGAAUGGCAGCCUUUUACUAGCUAGUCAAAGUGGUUACACAAUUUAAUAUUAAGAUAAUGUUUCAUUUAUAUGACUUUCAUUUACACAAACCCUAAAAAUAAAAGGCUAGGCAAGAAAACACAAAAUUCUGACUCGUAGACCUUUAGCUGGUUGUAUGCACUGUUCAACCAGCAUAAGCUUGUUCACCGAAUUAACUUUCUAUCGUCAUGUUUCUUUUGUUUUUUAAAAUACAAAUUACUUUGUAGCCCCUAUUAUUUUUAAGAUUCGAAAUUUAGUUGAUCAGCACAAGAAAAUUACUUAAAAUUAUCAAAUUGAAUGGCAAUAAAAUCAAUUUUUAAUUUAUUCACGACAAUGAAAUAAAGAGUAAUUAAAUAUGCACAUCAAAUCAUCCAUCUACUGCGUAUGUCGUUCAUAUAUAGAUUUUUUCUUUUAUUGUGUAUGUCAUUCAUAUUUAAUGACUCUUUAUUUCAUCACCAACCCAACAUUUGCUUAUUGUCCUGCCAACCAACUGGACCAUCAUAUAUUAUGAACUAUAUUCAAUGUUAUUUAAUUAUAUAUCUACUUGUACUCCAAUGUUCUCUCUCUAUCUCUUUUUUUUGGCUUUUUAAUAACUAUUUUAAUUAAUCAAGCUUAUGAAUGAGGAUUGAAUAUUAAAGAGUUGAAUUGUAUAGGAGCCAAUUUGUGAAAAAGAAACUACAGUUUGAUUCGAUUUAACCUAGCUCUAAAUUCACCUUUCAUUGUUAUUCCGCCGUCCGCAAGAUGGAUGGAUGCACCAUGCCCAUUAUUUCAGAGAACUGACUUAAGCGACCACACUGCAAAUGUAAUUUGCUGCGAGACACAAUUAUGCAUAAUUUUUCAACAUGUUUCCAGAUGUCAAAAGUAUCUAUCAAUAAUUGAAUGACACUUAUCACGUUAUCACUUUUCAUUAGGUCACAUCUGUGAUUCGCAAAAGCUCUUGUUUGUGGAGAGGAAUUAAUUGAGUUUUGUUUUCAUCGCCUCCAACGUUACGUACCCAACGCCAAUCGAGUGGGCUCCCCCUACUGUACUCGCACCCAUCCCAUAUUCCCACCCAAUAUUGGGUUCACGGAUUCGAGUUCCAUUCUUAUGAUAGGAUUCUUGAUAUUUUAAGUAAGAAUAAACAAUUGAACACACACACACACAAAUUAUAUAUAUACACACACAUUUAAACAACUUUUACUUCUUAGUAAUAUUUAAAGAUAAUAUUAAUUGAGAUAUUUAUAUUUACAGAUAAAUAAUAAUAAUUUUUUUUAUUUUUUAUUUAAAUAAUAAAAUUUUAUCCCUAAUACAUUAAUUAAUAUAUCAACUAAAUAUCUCAAAUUAAAAUAAAUUUUAGAAUACGUAUCAUAUCAAUCAUAUGAUAAGAAUAAACAGUUGAAUACACACACGUAUGUAUGUAUUAUAAUUAUAUAUAUAUACACACACACUUAAACAACUUUUACUUCUUAGUAAUAUUUAAAGAUAAUAUUAAUUGAGAUAUUUAUAUUUACAGAUAAAAAAUAAUAAUUUUUUAUUUUUAAUUUAAAUAAUAAAAUUUAUCCCUAAUACAUUAAUUAAUAUACCAACUAAAUAUUUCAAAUUAAAAUUUUUUUAAAAUAUAUAUUAUAUCAAUUAUAUAAUAAGUAAAUAAUGUGAUAACAUGUGUAUAUUUAUUUUAAAAAAAUAUCAUAUAAAUAAUAAUUAUAUUAAAUUUAAUUAGAUAUAUCGUUCAUUAAUUAAUUGUAGCACAUCGAAUAAAAACAGUAAUUCUGUCCUGCAAAGGCCAAAUCCUUUCGUUAUCACCUUUACAAAAACGAACGCCCUCCACAUUUUGUGCUCUGCUUCUUCUCCAUGGAUUCCACCAACCCAUCAUCAGAAGUCGCCCAUGACUUCUCACCUUUGCUAAAAGUACACAAAGACGGCAAAGUAGAAAGGCUUAUGGGCACCGAUAUCGUUCCCCCAUCACUUGAUCCCAAAACAAACGUUGAUUCCAAAGACGUUGUGUAUUCUCCUGAACAUAAUUUAUCUGCUCGGCUUUACCUCCCGAAAAACACAAAUCAAAACCAAAAACUUCCCCUUCUUGUUUAUUUUCACGGAGGAGGUUUUUUCAUCGAGACUGCUUUUUCACCAACUUACCAUAAUUACCUCAACGACUUGGUCUCUGAAGCUAACAUCAUCGCAGUAUCGGUCGACUACCGAAGAGCCCCAGAGCAUCCUCUUCCUAUCGCUUAUGAAGAUUCAUGGGACGCAGUCAAAUGGGUUGCUUCCCAUGUUGACGGAAAUGGCCCCGAAGAUUGGCUCAACCGUAAUGCUGAUUUUCAGCGAGUGUUUUACUCUGGGGACAGCGCUGGUGCUAAUAUUGCUCAUCACAUGGCGAUAAGAAACGGUGGAGAAAUUAUCGACGGCUUUAAUGUUGUUGGUAUUGUCUUGAUUCAUCCAUACUUUUGGGGUGUUGAACCUGUUGGUUCCGAGCCUACUGAUGUUAAAAUAAGAGCUGGAACGGAGAGAUUUUGGCUAUUUGCUUGUCCAAGCACAAGCGGGCUCGAUGAUCCGUGGGUUAAUCCGUGUGCCGACGGUUCGAGCCUCGCAAGCCUGGGGUGCGCCAGGGUGCUGGUGUUUGCUGCGGAGAAGGAUUUCCUGUGCCCUAGAGGAUGGUUUUACUAUGAGAAGUUGAAGGAAAGUGGGUGGGGAGGCCAUGUGGAGAUAGUUGAGUCUAAAGGAGAGCAACAUGUGUUCCAUUUGUUCAAUCCCACUUGUGAAAAUGCUGGGUCUAUGCUCAAGAAAAUUUGUUCUUUCUUCAAUCAGGAUAAGCCUUGAAACUGAAGGGUUAUUUGCUUUGGUUCGGCAAAUAUUUGGGAGGAAAGAUGAAUAAGGUAAUUAUAAUAACUCUAGUGUGUGUGUGUGAUUUUCUUUCCUUUUUUUUUUUUUUUACCUCAGAAGAAAUAAGAUAGGUUGAUUGCGGCUAAAUACAAGUGGGAUUCCGUGGAAUCAGAAUUCGGAAAAGGUUUUGGCCUUCUGGAAUCAUUGAUGUAUUAAUAAUUAGAUUCAAUCGUAAAUCAAUUAAGACAACUUGAUGUAAUAGUAGUACUGUUCACGGAGUCCAUCGAUUUCUCUUUGAUUUCGGAUCAGAAUAUAUCCAAUAUGAGCUCUGUUUCUUUCAAUUUUCAGCAACUUCAUUCAUUUCACUUAGCAAGUUAUCCUACUAAUCUGGUGAUUUGCUGAUAAAAGAUGAUCAUGAUAACGGUCGGACACAGUUGACUGCCGGUCUUCAUAAUUGUUUUAUUAAUUAAUAAAAAUAAGUUAAAUAAAAUUAAAGUAUUAAAUAAAUAUGACUUGUAUGAAUGUCAAUAAUCUAUAAUACAAAUAUAGAGAAAUAAAUAUUUCUGCAUGCCAACGUGAUGAAGAUGAAAAUUUACUUUGUCAUGUCUGUCUUUCAGAAGAAAAACAAAUAUUGUGAUUUCUAUUGGAUGGAGCAAGAAAAAAAUUAUCAAUAGUUUUAUACUGGAAAUGCCACAAUUUCUAUGAAGUCGAAAAAUAUCUACACAAAUAUUUGGAGACAGCAGAGUCUAAACGAGAGCCGCACGCAAUGCUGUGGCUAUGCUCAAUCAAGAUAUGUAAUGCCUAAGCAUAAAAUAUUCAAUAAUUUGGUUGUUGAUCAGAAGGAUAAUUUGCUUGCCACUUAUUGAAGAGACGUGGAGCCAAGCCAAUCAGAGUUGGUGAGAAAUAAAGAGCGUGGUUUAGAUAAAUCCACAAAGAAGGCAGUCCUUACCAAACAAAAUUUUCUACCAUCUUCAACAAAAACUGAUACGAUUUUUGAAAUUACAGUUUCGGUUAUGAUAAUUCAAGGAUUAAAAUCUUACCAAUCCUCAUAUUAUCUUGUCCCAAAAAACAAAAACAAAAAAUUGAAAGAGAGUGGUUUGGCACUUACAAAACUAUUACAAGGUGACGUGUCAAUAAUCAACUCCACUAACUCUUUUAAUUUAAUUUGCUCAAUUAUUGUUAAUUUUUUAAUUAUGUAUUUCACUUCAUAACUCCUUUUUCAUUUUUUUCUUAAUGAGUUAUCGUAACAUUUGUCUUGAUUUACAUGGGCCUAAUUGUAUUUGUUUGGACACCAUUUUUGUCCCUUUAUCAUUUUUAUUUUAUUUUUUAAAUUGUAAACGUUAUCCACUCUUGCUGCCUUCCACAUACCAAAUCUUGUCUUCAUCUCUGCAUGUUUUUCUGCUCCAUUUUCCUUUCUCCUUCUCCUGGAGAACAGACAAAGCCCGUCAAUAUUUUUCUGCACUUUUUCUCUACACAUGGAUUCCACAGAGCCGGCAGCAGAAAUAGCCAUCGACCUCUCUCUCACGAUAAAAGUAUACAAAGAUGGCAAAGUAGAAAGGCUCAAAGGAAACGACAUCGUUCUUGCAUCAUUUGAUCCCAAAACAAACCUUCAUUCCAAAGACGUUGUGUAUUCACCAGAAAACAAUCUAUAUGCUUGCAGGGGCGGAGACAGCAUAUUGAUUUAAAAGAUAAUAUGAGUUUUCAUAUUAAAUAGAUAAAUUUAAAAAAAUUUAUCAUACUUCAAUAUAUGUUUACAAUUGUCCUUUACGAGUUUUCAUACAUUGGUAACGUUGCAUUACAACUUCAUUAUCAAUAUUAUUAAAUAAGUCUUUUUCUAUGUGAACAACUAAACUAUCAUUCAUCCAUUGCUCUCCCAUUCGGCUUUGUAACCGAUUCUUCAAAAUGUUCAUAGCUGAAAAUGCUCUCUCUACACUCGCAGUGGCAACAAGUAAGUCAAUGCUAAUGUUAUUAACAAGUAAACUAAUGGAUAUACAUUAUGUCUCUUAGUCUCGACCAUCCGCUUUGCAAGAUCACCAAUAUCCUUUAAUUUUGAAAACUCACCACUAGUGCGCAUAUCCAAAAUAUAUGUAUCAAGUUAAGUCCCAAGUGCCAUGAUAUCAAUUGUAGAGAACUCAUUUGGAUACAACUGGGCUAGCCGUAAUAGCUUCUGCUUGUUGAAAGCUGAAAAUAAAUCAUUUGGAGAUAAACAUGCUAAGCAAAGAAGCAACUCAGUGUUUGUCUCAUUAAAACGAGAAUUAAGCUCUUGAAGUUGCAUAUCUAAGACUGCAUAAUACAAUUCAACAUGAUAACGAUGCAAAUAUGUGAUCUCUUGAGCUUUAUGUUGUGAUCGCCCUUUAUCCACAAACAUAUCAUCCAUAUUAGGCACAUCAAUAUCAUGCUUCACACAAAAAAAAGUAACUUCAUCAAUUAAAGAAUUCCAUCCACUUUGUCUCAUUGUUUGAAGUUGUAGUUUACAUAACCUAACCAAGUUCAUAGCAUUCACAAUAUCUUGAUCUUUCCUCUGUAAUGCUUGUGAUAACUCAUCUGUAGCCCCUAAAAUAUUCCUCAUCAAAUGUAAACAGAACACAAAAUUAAAUGACAACAUCAACUCUAGUGAAUUCUUUGCUUCUCCUCUUUGCCCAGAUUUUGGUUCAUCAUCAAUAAUCAUUUCCAAUACACUAAUUACUGUUGAAAACAUGUUAAUAAUGCUCAAAAUGUAUUAUAAUAAAGAUUAUGAAUAUUGAGUACUUUACUUAGGCUAGUAGCACUUUUAGCAUAUUCCCCUAUUAUAUAAUUAUAUUAAUGCUAUAAAUUAAUUAACAAACAGUACAAGACAUUAAAGUUAAACAAGCAAAUGCUUAAUUGCAAUUGUUAUUUUCUUAAUCUAAUAAUAUGUGUUCUUUUUCAUGGAAUCUACACUCAAUCACAUUAUAUUUUUCAAAUAUACCAAUAGCCAUAUGAUACACUAACUAAGGGGGAAGAAAAACAACUAUAACAUCAAUUCAACAAAUAAUUAUAUAUGAUUUAUAAACAAUAAAAUAAAAAGAAAAUAAAGUGUUAACUUGUACCUUAAUUUUAUUGAAUGAAGAGAUGAGGGGUUGUUUGAAAUUUGGAGGAAUAAAUGAAAAUCACUUUCCACUGUCACUACUGUUUUGCUUUUGGAGAUGCCGAAACAAGAAGAUGAUUUAGGGAUUUGCGUAUGGGUGCAGGACGUAGUGGAAUUGGAGAAGGUAAAGAGUAAUAAAAUAUUAUUAAUAGGUUUGUGGGCUGUUUAAAAAUUUGAUUAAUAUUAAUAUUUAUGGGCUUGAUUUUAGUUUGCAAAGCCCAUCUCUUUUUAUUUGUUUUAAAAACUUAGAGUGUGAGAAGAGUGGUGAUAUUUAACCCCCUAAUUAUAUCUCACAAACCCCCACUUUUCAAUUAACCCCAUUAAUAAUUUUAAAUUAAUUUUUAUCUCUUAAUAUACCCCACUUAAUUCCUAAUUUACCCUUAUUAUAAUUUUUAUCUUACUUCAUGCACCCAUUUAUAAAACUUAUAAAAAUUAUUUUAAAACAGAAAACAAUUCUCAUAAUCGCCACCGUAACCAUGGAAAAGAAUUUAAUAAUUCCAAUAAGGAUUGGACCACGAACCAUGCCAAGUCAAUCCUAAAAAAUCAAAGUAUCAUGCUAAGUCUAUCAAGCCCAGAGUGAGUAUAGAAAUACAAGAAUUAGCCAAGGGGGUAGACAUGAUAGUUUUGGAAUUUCUUGCAAGUGCAGCUACCUUUUUCAGCAUGAGGAGGUAUGGUGUUUACAAAUUCAAGAAAUUAUAUAUUUAAGUAUUGUAGUUAGUUUCAAUUUGUAUUGGCUUUUUUAGUUCUUUGAGUAUCUUGACUGGUUGUUUUUUUGUUUACAAAUUGGAGAAUUUAUGUAUUUCUUCAUAGCUGUGAAUAGUCUUCCAAGUGUUUGUCAUUUUUACUGACUGAAUAAAAUUAUUACUUUCAUUCUCUAUAAAAAUGAUCAUUACUGUUUUUUUUGUUCUAUAUACAAUUUAUGAAGUUUUGCAACUGCCGAGUAGAUUUUGACCACCAAAGUGGCCAAAUUUCUUAAAUAAGCAUGCAUUAUGAAUCUAUCAAAGUAGAAUUAGGUUCAAAAGUAGCUAUUGUAACUCUCAAGUAACCCUUCUGAUUGUAAUUUCCUUGCUCAUAUCACAUAUUUAACAGUUUUUUAACCUAUUUACACUUGCAAGAAAUAACAAAAGUAAAAACUAAUUAAAUCUUAUUUAUUCCUAUAUCAACAUCUGGAUAUAGCUUUUCUAAAAAAAAAAAAUCUGAAUAUAACUUCCUCUUAAUGAAAUACUCAGCAGAUAGUACAAACUUCUCCAAAGCAACAGCUGCAUGGCUUCAGUUAACACAACAGAAGAACUUUUCAUGACUUUCCUUUCCCCAUUAAUUAUUUUUUAAUAACAAUCAGUUUUAAGGAUUUGAGAAAACCAGGCAAUUAAAACAUCGACAUGAUCUCUAAUAGCACAAAUAAACUGAUUUUCGUAGCUCUUACUCCAAAUAUUGUAACAAUGGGUAGUUGGGUACUACAUUCAACCAGUGGCUCUGUAUCCCCUCUUAGUGUUAAUAAGUUGUUGCAGUUUCUCUGGAUAAAAUUGUAGUUUCUAAAUAAUAUAUGAACUGAAAUACUUAUUACAAAACAACUUGCCGAAAUCAUUUAAAAAAACAAUAAAAAAUGGAAACACUUAUUGAUCAUCCAAAUCAAUUGUGUCUUUGCUUGCUACAUUAUGUACUAAAUCUUUAAAAGCAAUAAUGUUCCUAUCAUAUGGAGUUGCCCAUCCUUCUGCUAUAGAAGAAUGAUAUUUUAACUAACUACUUGCUAUUGGUGGCAUCGGUGAAUCUGGAUUCAUGACUACCUGUAAUAAAAAAGUAAAAUAUUGAAAAAAUCAUAGUUAACAAGUGUUAAAAAAAAAAAAUUUCUUUUCUUUGAGGGUUGUGGUAUGAAAUAAUAAUUAUUAACAAAAAGUCUAAAAAACUACCUGUAUGAAAUGACAAUUGUGAAUGAAUCCAAUUGCAAUAAUCUUUUGAGAGGGCCGUGGUAAUGGAGUUGAUCUGAGUGGAAGAAAAGUGAGACACUGAAGUUGAGAUAAGAAUACUAGCACAACAUUAUAUUUAGAAGCAAUAAGAUAUCCUGCUUCAGGGAAGGUCAUCCAAUAAUCAUUUGAUGGAUUGUUUUCAAAAUAUGAAAGUGACUGUAGAAUCUCAUCAGAUCUACCUGCAUACUUAAAUAUUUGGGUAUAGUCAUCAAAGUGGCUUUUUAAUUCAUCAAUAAAGUCCCUCCUCACUUGAAUCCAAUUAUCCUCACCCAAACCAAUUAAAUCAGCCACAACACGAAAGCCACAAUUACCAUCUGCAGCAACAUCUUUAACAUGAUGUAUAUAUGGCCGCAAUCCUUGUGGAAAUGAAUCAAUGAAAGAAGAAUGCUUAGGAAGUUGAGACUGAUGCACCUUUUUUCUUUGUCGUAGUUUAGAUUGUACAAAAAUCUUACUUGAAGAUAAAUGUGGAGAAUGACUAUUCAGUGCAGAUAAUACAUGUUCAAAUUUGGAUGGAUCUCGACGAGUAGAAUUAUCUGCCUUUGAAGAAGGUCGGCCUCGUGUUCUUGCUUUAGCUUCUGGCUCAAUAAGAUAAGUUGAUGCUGGAUUUGCUAGUUCUUUUAACUUCUUCAAAAUCUGUAACUUUCCAGUGUAAUCAUUAUUAUUAUAACGCUUCAAAAUCAUCUCCAUCUCAGUUGAACAACUUAAAUCUGUAGUUUCAGCUUUGGUAGUAGGUAAUAAGUUUAGUUUCUUCCAAUGUAGAUGUAUAGAAGACAAAGGAAUAGGUCUUCCUUCACGCUUAUACCUUGCAAUCUCAUGUGCAUAUGGAAUUCCAUGAGUGCGUCGAACUACGCAUCCAUAAGCCAAUGGAUCUAGACCAAUAUAAUCAGCUUGUUUAGACUCACAAAAUAUCAUGUUGAGUGCAUUUCGUGAAACAAAUCCUCGCAAUUCCUUGAAAACUGAAGGUUUGAAAUCAUGUUGCACUGUUGUUGAACUUCUCUCUAACGAAGCUUUAAUCUCUGUAUGCUGCAAUUCUACUAAAGCAUGGAUUUUAGUCCAUAACGUCUCAAAAGUUCCUCGUGAUGAUUGUAGUUGCCUUUUUAAUGCUGAAUGAGAUGUCUCAACCCUGUUAAGAAAAUACCCAAAAAAAAGUUAUUUUUUCAAUAAUAAAAUUAAAUAUAAGAAUAUAUUUUAAUGAAUAUUUACCUGUUUGAGGUUGUAUUUCCUAAAUGCAUUAUUGAAUCAGUCCAAGCUGCAACAAAUUUUUCCUUGUACUUAUCCAGCCAUGUGUUCUUCACAUAAUCAAUAGUUUCUUGAUAUCUAACAAAUUCACUCUCCAAAAGUCUUAGGUGUUGCAUAUAAUGGUCUUUUGUGGCAGAUAGUACUAAUAUAUUCCAACUAGUAAUGAAAGAUUCCCAUACCUCAUUAGUCUCAAAUAACUUCUUACAAUUAGCUAAAAUAUUUUUUGAGAUAUGCCAUCUACACAGAAGAUGAGUUGCAGUUGGGAAAAUAUUUUGAAUAGCAUUCAUUAGUGCUACCUCUCUAUCUGUCACAAUUACACUCGGUAACAUAUUAUUAUCCAUAAAACCUUUCAAUUUAUCUAGUGCCCAACUGUAGUUAUCCUCCCGCUCGCGUUCAAUAUAUGCAAAACAUACUGAAAAUGUCAUCUCAGUCGAGGUGACACCAACCAGCUCUAGUAAUGGAAAAGCAUACAUGUUGGUCUUGUAUGUGCAAUCCAUAAUUAACACAUGUGGAAAUGCCCGUAAUAGGUCAAUUGCAAAAGGAUGAGCCCAAAAUAAGUCCUUAACAUUGUCUGUAUCAGCAUCACUUCGAUACCACUCAAUGUAGUUAUGCUCAGUCAAUUUGCUCAUGAGUAGUUGCAUCUUUGACCUACCGGCUAGUUCUUUAACCUUGUAUCUAUGUCUUGCAUUGUAAAUAGACCUCAUAGUAGUAGCAUUAUAUAUAUCUCUUUGUUUUAUCGUAUAUAGUAUAUCCUUUGGCCUUGCAUUACUUUUUGACAUAUCAAUCAAUAAGUUGUUUUCUUUUUCAGUAAGUCUACCUGCAUAUGAGUGCCCCUCAAGAUGUUUUGCUGCAGGAUGGUUAUGUUAUGCACAUAUCACUUUCAAAACCCAACAAUUGUCAUUUGCCAAAUAUUGCCCUUUUAAUCUGAAUGGACAAUUGCAUUUUUUUGUUCCGGUUGCCUUAGGACAUUUUGGCCUUUGACCUUCACUAGAAACACACUUGUAAGCACCACUUCUUUCACAAGCGAAAAUUAUUCUUGGAUUUCUACCAUGUGCACUUACAUCUGACUUUUUUAUUAUAAUGACAUAUCCAUUUCUCUUGCCAGCAUUUCGUGUCCACUCAAUUAAUUCUUCCAUGCUAUUCAAAACCUAAUCAAAACAAAAUUAUAAUAUAUCCAAUUAGAAAGCUUUGAAUAAUAUUAAUUAAUAAUAAAAAAUUAAAAAGUGAAAGUUAGCUAUCUACCUUGUCAGUGCUGAAAACACAAGCACAAUCAUCUACAAUGUUCGAUUCUCUUGUGACAUUGUUUCCAUGAUUAAUAGACUUUUCAUCCUAAAAUUUGUUAGAAAUAUAAAAUUAUUAGGGUGUUGAAAAUAAAUAGAGUACAAAAAUUAAAGGGAAAAAAACUUUAAACUUACUUCUUCAUCCGCUAGUGAGUACUGCAACUAAUUUCUUCCAUAGUUACAAAAGCAGGGAGUAUAUAAUAUAUGAAAAGAGAUAAUUUAAAAAGUUAGAUUCUAGGGUUUUAUACAAAUUUUAAACGAACUCGCUUUUCCCUUUACUAGAAGAAGAAGACAAUCAACCAUGGUCACUCGGUAGAACUCUCACUCCAAGACUUACAGGUUCAGUUGUCGUGCUUGUUGGGUUUAUGGGAUCAUGCAAUAAUCAGGUAAUAAAGGCUCAUUUGCUACAAACAAUACUUCCGUAGCAAUGACAAGGAGAUUGGUUUAUUAAAUGCCACUAAACCAAUAAUCAGGCAAUAUAAGGACCAUUCUUAUGACUUUUUGUUUCAUCUAUGAUGCUUGUAGGGAAUCUCUAUUUCUUAAGGAUUGUUCUAAGAGGAUUUGACUGAACGUUUAACAAAGCAAUUGUUGGCUAAGAAUAUUAUUGAUCAUUAUAAUUAGGGUUUAAUCAAUUCUCACCAAAAAAAUUAAAAAGUUAAAGGAAAUUAGGGUUUAAAAAAUUAGACUAAUUUUAUUAAUUAUUAAUAAAAAUUAUUAUGUGGGUGUACUUAAAAUAUAUUUAUCCUUUUAAGUCAUUUCAUAUAAGGAUAAAAUAAGUAUUAAUAUAAAAAUAAUUAGUGGGGGUUGGUGAGAUAUAAUGAGGGGGUCAAAUAUCACCACUCAUGUGAGAAUUUAAGUAUAAUUAAGUAUUAGGGGCUUGAAUAUAAAAGAUUUAUGGGCUUGAAUAUAAAAGAUUUUGGCAAAUCAAAUUAGUUAGUAAAAGAUUUUUUUUUUUUUUUCAGUGGGGACUUAAGUCCCCACUGGUCCCAAGCUAGAUCCGCCACUGUAUGCUCGGCUUUACAUUCCAAACCAAAGACAAAACCAAAACCAAAACCAAAAACUUCCCCUUCUUGUUUAUUUUCAUGGCGGAGGCUUUUGCAUCGAAACCGCCUUUUCUCCCACUUACCACAAUUACCUCAACACCUUAGUCUCUGAAGCUAACGUCAUCGCAGUCUCGGUUGAUUAUCGGAGAGCCCCGGAGAAUCCUGUCCCUUGCGCUCAUGAUGAUUCAUGGACUGCACUCAAGUGGGUUGCUUCCCAUGUUAACGGAGAAGGCCCUGAAGAUUGGCUCAACUAUUUCGCUGAUUUCCAGCGAGUGUUUUUUUCUGGUGACAGUGCUGGCGCUAACAUAGCUCAUCACAUGGGCAUGAGACAUGGUCGAGAAAUUCUCGAUGGUGUUAAUGUUAUUGGCAUUGUUUUAAUUCAUCCGUAUUUUCUGGGCAGAGAAGCUGUUGGUAAUGAAACAGCUGACGCUAAGAAAAGAGACUGGGUCGCGAGAUUGUGGAGAUUGACUUGUCCAAGUAGCACAAGUGGGUGCGAUGAUCCGUGGAUUAAUCCUGCCGUUGCGGGUUCGGACCUAGCGAGCCUGGGAUGCGCCAGGAUGCAGGUAUUUGUUGCGGAGAAUGAUUUUCUGAGAUCUAGAGGAUGGUUUUAUUAUGACAAGUUGAAGGAGAGCGGGUGUAGGGGCAAUGUGGAGAUUGUUGAGUCCAAAGGAGAGCAACAUGUGUUCCAUUUGAUAAAUCCCACAUGUGAAAAUGCUGUGGCCAUGCUUGAGAGAACUGCUUCUUUCUUGAAUCAUCAGGAGAAGGCCUGAAUUCAUGUGCCUCUAACUAUAUUUAUAAUUGUCAAUUUCCUUUUUUUUUUUUUUUCUGUCAGCUGCUAUUUUUACGGGUAUAUAUAUAUAUAUAUAUAUGGGUUCCUCUAUGAUGCUGUAAAAAAUUUACAGCAUCAAUAAUGUAUUAAUUGUAAAUCAUUAGAUUUAAUCAAUGGUGUAUAAUAUUUGUACUAAAAAAAUAAUUUAAAAAUAAUAGUAAACAGUUUGUUAACGUUCAAGUGGGUGGAGAAUUUUUGUAAAAUAAUUGUGACCACCCUUAGAGUUUGAAAUAAUUUCACUUAAAUAGCAUAUUUUAUUUAAAAUUAUUUUUCAGCCCUCCUUUAAAUUUGUAAUAUGAUAAUCUUUUUUAAAUAAAUCUUCCAAAAUCAACUAUCAUUAAGUAUAAAAUAUAAUAUCAAGUAGGUUAUUUAACACAAAGUCUUAUAAUAAUUUGUAUUGUAUGAAUUUAAUUACAAACCAUUAAUACCUAAACAAUAAUGAUAAUAGAAGGCAUUUCAAUAAACUAUUUUAUAUGUGUUUUAUUAAUAAUACUAUAUGAGUCACAACAAAUGAGAAAUAUUUUAUUCACCAAUUAUUAUUGAAAAAUAUAUAUGUCUAUAUAACUAUAGAGUGAGAAAUAUUUUGAUUUAAAUUUUUAACAAAAGAUUAAACUAUUUAUUUCAUGCAAUUCAAUGGUAGAGGAUAUAACAUUAUGAAAUGUUGCUUUGACUUUCAAUAUCAACCAUUAGAUUAUGAUAUAUUAGUGGCUCAAAUAUUGUGUCAAAAUUUUAAGUUAAAGUAUCCCAAAUUAUAUCGUUAUAAUGGAAAUAUAAAAACAUGCAAUCAUUUUUUUCCUCAUUUUGUCCAUUAAAUAUUAUUUGAUGUGAUAUUUUAUUUAUUGUCACUAUUAAUUAUCAUAAUAAAAGUAAUGACUCUUUGUAACAUAAAAAUUUUAUAAUUACUAUAAAAGAAUAACAAUAAAAUAAUCUUUCAUGAUUCAUAAACUAAAAUUAAUUAGGAAUAUGUGUUAGAUUUAACUUUUAUGAAAUUAACAAAGUGACAUUUGAAAAUAAAAUGAAAACAAGCUUGUGAAAGUUAAAUUUUAUAAGGCUCAGAUAAUUUUCUACCAUGUCAAUAAAAAUUUAAAAAUAUAAAUGAUUUUAUUUCACUUUUUUCCCACGUAAAUAUUAUCGGAGGCAAUAUUUUAUUUAUUGUCACUAUUAACUAUCAUAACAAAAGUAAUGACUCUUCAUAACAUAAAAUUUUAUAAUUACAAUCCAAGGAUAUCAAUAAAAUAAUCUUUCAUGAUUCAUAAACUAAAACUCAUUAGGAAUAUAUAUUCGAUUUAACUUUUAUGAAAUUAACAAAGUGAUAUUUGAAAAUAAAAUGAAAAUAUAUAAGCUUAUAAAACUUAAAACUCCCACCAUGUAAGGAUAUUAACUGUAAGAUAAAUAUAAAGUACAUAAAAUAAAUUUGUUAAAUGGGUGUUAAAAAUGAUACAUACUUCAUGAUCAAUUAUACAAUGGCCCUUAAUAUUAUAUAAAAUAAUGAGUAUUUUAAUAUACAAUAUUAAAUUUUAUUAAAACAUGUGUGAUCAAGUAAUUUUUAUGUUACAAGCAAUCUCAACAAUGAGUUUAUUGAUGUAUCUAUGACAUUUACUUAACUAUAUGUACUUGUUGUGUUAUUUAUUAGUGUUAUAUCAUAUAUAAAUUUUUCAAUUGCAACUUAUUUAUUUGAUUUGUGUUAAAUAACCUACCAUUAUAUUUUAUACUUAAUGAUAAUAGAUUUUGGAAGAUUUAUUUAAAAAAGAUUAUCACAUUUCAAAUUUAAAGGGGGAUUGAAAAAUAAUUUUAAAUAAAAUGUGAUAUUUAAGUGAAAUUGUUUCAAACUCUAAGGGUGGUCAUAGUUAUUUCACAAACUUCUCCACCCCUUACACGUUUGUUAACCGUUUACCAUUAUUUUUUAUUUUUAUUUUUACCUACAAAUAUUGUGUACCAUUGAUUAAAUCCAAUGGUACACAAUUAAAAACAUUAUUGAUGCUGUAAAAAAAUUACAACAUCAUAGAGGAACCCUAUAUAUAUAUAUAUAUAUAUAUAUUUACCAACUUCAACCGUUCAAAGGAAAUUUAUUAAUUAAAAAAAGUAUGACAAUUCUCAGAAAAUCAAUUGAACACAGAAAUUAAUAUUGGGUUGGACUAUUGCCAUCCCUCGAAUGCCCUCGUACAACCACUUUUAAGAAUAAUCUCUAUUUAAUUCCACAAAUAACCUUCCAAUUAUUUUUCCCAAGAAAACUUCAGUGAACCUCAUCUCUCUCUACGAAACUCUUCUAAACUCAAUGGUAUUUUCUUUCAUUUUAAAUUUAUAAUGAUUGCGCUUGUUCAACACCGCAAGUUCAGAGCUUGAACUUAUCCAAUUCAGUUUUGGAGAGAUUUCUUUUCACACCACUAAAUCCAUAUUUUUAUUCUUUGAACAAGAAUGAGACAUUUUUUUCUUUUUCUUUUUUAUCACAAACAAUUGUAUACUUUUAGAGUCAUUUUUCUUUUACAUUAGUCUUUGUCUUUUAUUUAAAAUUGUUCUUUUGAAGAAUUCGUUUGAUGAUAGAUAAUGAAUGGUUUGUAACUGAAAUUCUAUAUAUGGGUCAUAAACAACAAAUCUGAUUGCUGCCAAUAUUCUUGAAGAAGAUGGGUGCAUUUAAUUAAAUUUUUUAUAAAAUAACUCAAAUGAAAGGUUUGAUAAGAUUUUUAAAGGGGUGCCAAUAGCUCCAUUGCUUAUUUUUAUAAAAGGGUGUCUGUACUAGGAAGGAUAUUGUUUGGGGAAGACAUUGAAGAUCAAUAAUGUGGCGCUGUGUGUUGAUGAAAAAUUUUAUGAUUAAAAAUAAUCACAGAGGGUACCUAACUUACACUGGGUACACUUGAUAAUUGAGCUGGUACGUGGAGUAUUCCAUACUAGAAGUAAGAUGGUAAAGAAAAGUCUCUAAAAUAUCAACCGUGAGAAAUACCUCCAUCACCCUAAGAGAAUAUUUGAUUUGACAAGAUCAAAUAGGAAAUAUCUUGCUAGAAAAGAAGGGGCAGCUUGCUGUCACACCUAUAAAAAGCAAAAGGAAACACACCAAGACAGUGGUCCUUAGCUGCCACGCAUAGAAGCUGUCAAGACAACCUUUGUAGAGGUGUCCUAGACUACUCUGCAACGCACAACACGUGUACAAGAAAACAAACCAUACCAAAUGAUGUCCUUAUUGCUCCUCAAGCAUGCUACUAAUGGCUCAAAAUCAUGAUACUGGUGAAAGGAUAAAAUAAACUUGAAAAUGACAGCAAAUCACCACUGUAAUAUAUGCCACGUGGUAGGGUAGUCAAGGUGCUCUAUAUAGAAAGACACUAAAGUUUUAUUUUGCUCAGAUAUACAACAAACACACACAUAAAAGACUAAGGUUUUCUCUAACCUCCAGCAAUCAUUAAAGAGAGCUUACAAGCUCUCAAACGCUAGAUAACCCAACUCUGACUUAAGCAUCGAACCAUGGUCACUGGCCACUUCCGGCUUCACCUAUGAUAUCCUUUUUAUUGUUUUGCUAGUUUAAGGUGUCCUUUCAAGCUCUUUCAGUCCAGAUUUGGACCUCUCACCAUUAUCAUUGUCUUCUCACUCUUCUUCAUUUUUUUAAAAUGCACAAAACAACGCACAAAUUGCAACUAAGUGAGGUACCUUAUAUCCUGAAAAUAAAUUUAUUAUUUUAGUUAGGUUUUCCUUUUUUCUUUUGCACCCAAAAUCUACCUGAAACAAUCAUCUUCAUCUUUAUCAAGACUAAACAUCUCUAUAUAGCUAUCUAGCUUAUUUUAUUCAUCUUUUAUAAUGUAGAAUCUUAUAUAACAUUUCAUUUAUAUAACGAAUUGGUGAUUACUUGCUCCUAUAGACGUAGGCUAAAUGGCAAACCACGUAAACAUUGUGUGUUAUAAUGGAUUGAUGAUUACUUACUCCCGUGGACGUAGGUCAAAGGCUAAACCACGUAAACAAUGUGUGUUCAUUGCCUCUAUGUUUAUUUUGCUAUAUUUUCAAUUUACAGAAUUACAGUUGUAAUUAUGUUCAUGUGUAAGCAUACUUGACGUACCCCACUUACACUAAGUAUUUGGUGAGACACUUGAGCUAUCACUCGAGUAUACUUGAGCUACCCUAACUACGCUAAGUAUUUGGUGGGACACUUGAGUUACUCCCUAAAUUAACUCCUAUAUAUUAUUUUGGCUCACCACCUAGGGUACCUUAGUUAAACCACCUAUCACAAAUAUCAGAAAAAAACAUCUAAGUCCAAACUUAGCACAAGCUCCCUCAAAUGUAAAUUUAUUUAUUUGAGACAGAUUUGAUCUGGUAACUAGUACGAAUCAGAUCCUAAUGAAAAUUUGGUGAAAACGGGUAUUAUCAAUAAUCUGCCCUACUAACAACUAACUAUUUAUUAAGAUAACAUUUAUUCUUUUUAUUUGAAAUUUAAAUUAGUUUAACUGAAGUUUAAACAAAUCUAAAUCCAUUUGUCUGUUUUCAUUUUUUGAUGCCUAAGUAUAUAAGUGGUAAGUUGUUUGCUUUUAUAAACUCAAAAUAUCUUAAAUCUAGUAUUUUAUACUUAUAUCCUUAGAUGUAUUAUACAUUUGGAAGUUUAAAUAGGUAUAUGUUUACCGGGUUAUUUAGUAUAGUAAUAUUUAUAUGUUAUGAAUAAUUAUAAGCUAAGCAUUUGAUAUACAGAAGAAAUAAACUAUGAAAAAAUAAUUUUGAUAACAAUAGUUUUUACAACUUACAGAAUAUUUCCACAUAAAAAAUUGCUAUCUAAUAAUAAAAGAAUAGUGUAAAAUUCAAAUUGAAUGUAUGUUAGGUAUUUAAUAGCAAAUAAAAGUUUAGAUCAAGAGAAGUUUUAAUGUAGGAUAAGAAACUUAAGACUCUAAAUUUGAGUUGUCCUCGGAUGUACACCUGCUUAUGGCACCUCGGAAUUAUAGACUUACUAUGGUAAAAGACUUAGACCCAACGUAUUCGUUGGAGUCGUGGGAGCAAAGCAAGGCUUGCUAGAUAGAAAAUAUGAAAUAUUCUGAAAAAAACCUUCGUCUGCUAGUUUUUUUAGUGUAUCCAUGAUUAAUUCUUCUACCUUUUGAGUGUCAUCUUCAGAAACAUUCUUCAAUCCGAUACUAAAUUGAGGCUGAAGGAGUUCAUCUUCAAUCCCACCACCAACAAUGGCAUCUCCAAGACCACUUUCUAGUAAAAUUUUCCUCAAGGGAGAAGCAGGAGUUCCCAGCAUAAGAUGAUCCAAGAACCCAAGGGCAAGUUCCGUUUCCAAGUCUAAGGGCUUAUCUGAGAGCAACCAAUUAAGGCAUACCAUGUUCUUCUUCUUAAUAUCACCAGCAUCACCAGCAGGGUAUUUCUCAAUAAUCCUGAUUGGUUCUGAAAAUAGUUUCUGUUUUUCAACUAUUGAUUCAUUUGGGGCUGAACUUGCUUCAAACAUAUUCAAAUACUCUGUGACAGAGAAAGUGCAAUUAAGAUGCUAGUGUACAGAACAACUUGAAUUAAGACCUUAUCAUUCAACUUACUAUCAGAAUGGCAACAUUUUGACAUGCAUGUGCACAAGAAAAUGUUGGAUAUGCAUAGACAAGUGAAUAUUGGAUAUGCAUUGGAUUUUGGACCAAAUAUAAUUAAAAAGUUGCAAAUCAUACUGGAUAUGAAAACUUCCAGUUUUGGUUAUAUAUUGGUCUUUUGACUGAAAAUAGUAAAAUACUGCAUAUACCAAGUAAAGAUACGAAGACAAGCUAUAAUUAUAAUGCAUCUUUGUACCGAAACUAGUUCCACUAGAGCAAACUCAAACAAAUCCAUUUUAGGAAGGAUUUUAGUUUCCAUUAUUUAAUUGCUCAACCAGGCAUAGUUUUCAAGGACCACUCAUGCAUAUGCAUCACUCUGGGACCAGCACCCAUAAGCUUCGGGGGACAACCGAAAGUGGUAAUCCAGUGAGAAAAAAGAAAAAAAAAAUUAACAAAGAGCAUGGAUACUCAAUUCAUUCUCAAUAGAGAUGUCAUUUAUUACCACUCAGGAUGCGUAAGCGUUCAUUUGGAUCAUCGUCUCCAUAGAACCAUAUCCUGGCAUUGCUGGGGUGGUAAUAUUUACGGUGAAAUUCCUGCCAUCAGAAAGACAGCCUGAGAAAAAUAACUAACACAACAUUUAAGUUAAAAAAUCCCCAUACCAACAUAAAUCCAAAAAAAAAAUAAAAAUCAAAAUGCAGUAAAGAAUAUACCUUAAACUCCUCAAAUGUCAGCUUUGGAAUAACUUUUGGAUCACCUCCGCUAUCUACACCAUAUGCAUUGUCGGGAAAUAAAGCCUGUGAAGAAGUUUUGUAACUCAGUUGCAAGAGCAAACAAGAUAGCUUUAUCAGAAGCAUUCAAAAAGAAUGAAUUGGAAGCAUCAAUAAAUGAUCCAUAUGGGUAUGCAAUCAUAAGAUUCAGGCACUUUGUCAGUGAAACUUCGGAGGAAUAAACUAUGAACCAGUUUUCCAUUGUUUCCUGAUUGUAAGGAAUCUGAAAAGAUAUACAGUCAGACGAAUGGAGAACUUGCCUGUUGAGCAGCCCGCCCUAAUAUAUUAUCAGGCUGCGAAUAGACACCUUUCAUCUCAUUGAAAACAACACCUUCAAUUAAGAACAAAAAAAGGAAGGUCAAAGAACUUAGUUGCAAGUUGGAUGAAUCAUCACCAGGGAAAACCAAAUAACAGCAGAAGUUUAAUAUAUAUAUAUAUAGAGAGAGAGAGAGAGGGAGAGAGAGAGAGAGAGAGAACAAAUAUCUGCAGAUAUCAAACCUUUAUAAGUUAUAUCCUCUGAAGGAUUAUCCAGCUUAAAAUGCCAACCCUCCUGUUGAAAAGUCUGGAAGUCCUCCACACACUUUGGGAAAAAGACAGCAUCGAAGUAGACAUCGACCAAAUUAUAAAAAUCCUGUUUAGGAAAACAUCUUAGCGGAAGUAAAAUCCAAAAAAGAUGUAAGAGUUUCCAAGCUUAGGUUCCCCUUCCUCAUAACUCCAACUCAUUUUCUUACCUUUGUAUUCGUAGAAGCAACUGGGUAACAUGUUCUAUCAGGAUAUGUGAAUGCAUUCAGAAAAGUAUUCAAGCUUCCUUUCAACAAUUCAACGAAUGGUUCUUUCAAAGGAUACUUUCUUGAACCACACAACACACUGUGUUCCAAUAUGUGUGGAAUCCCAGUUGAAUCCUUCCUGCAUUAUCAAAUAGGUAAGGCAUAAUGAUAAGACCUUUUGCAACCCAAAAACGUGUCUCGUUGUCCAGAAAACUAUAACUGCCUGAAAAUUAUUUUCUUGUAUUCUUAGCAUUUCAAUGAUAAUAUCUAACAAUGUAUCUGAUUUAAAUUAAUAUAAUCAAAUAAAAUGAAAAGAGAAAAUAAAAAGACGAUAUCAAACGGUGAUAUCGCUGUCGCCGCGGAGGAGGGAGCGCCUGGUGAGGUUGUUGAUCAGACGGUGGUGAUUCCUCCUCGCAACAGCAACUGAUGAUGAUGAAAAUUUGGCGCGAGGUACGAAAGAGCGAAAGUAGAAUCUGUUGGAAGCGAGGGAAGUACAAGAGAGAGAACGAAGCAACGCGGCUCGCUCCAUUGUUAGAAGAAGGAUAGGUACUAC
rnacentral:lncRNA from 1 species